rnacentral:lncRNA from 1 species
AGAAAUCCUAAUAUCACAUUCCAACCUUCAAGAGCUCACUUUGCUCUCUCUUUUAGCUAAUUACCACUUUCUGGAAUUCACUUUAGUCGACGUUCUAGGAGUUCCUGACAUCUCGAAGCUUUUUUCUCAAUGGAGGAUCUGGUGGCGAAGAUGAUCUACGAGAAGCCUGUGGUGAUCUUAAUCAAGUCGCUUCUUUACGAAAUGGGGGGAACCCAACGGCCCACAACCUAGACGAGAUUCCGAGAGGCAAGGAGAUCGAGCAGGCCCUCGUGAGACGCGGGUGCAGCCCAGCGGUCCCCGCCGUGUUCAUCCGCGGCCAGCUUUUCGGUAGGGACAGUUGUGGCUAAUGCUGGUUAGGGUUUUGGGAAGUGGGUCUUAAGGUUUCUAGCUGGGUGGAUUGGCAUGAAAAAGGAUAACAAGAUGUGGGAUGUUGUGUAUGGUAUAUAUAGAAGUGGGAGUGUUAAAAGAUGUACAUAUGAAAAUAGAUUUUAAAGAGUUGUUGUGGCGAAAACUCAUGAUAGACCUCGGUGCAUGGGCCUCGUUAGUCAGUCCUCGCGUUCGGGUCCUCAAGGCCGAGCUUGAGACCCCCGUGUCCCUCCCCAAAUCUCCAGUGGUUAGGCCUAGGACACUGACUCCUGCGUUGAGACCCUAGCGGCCGAGUUUGGAUCCGGUUGCUUGGGAUUGGGACCCCGAUGGUCAGGUUCAGGUCCCUAAAGGCUGAGUCUAGGAUCUUGACAUCUGUGCUUGGAUCUCUAGCAAUCGGGUCCAAGUCUCCAAGAACCCGAACUUAGGACUUGAGGUUGUACUCCAAUUUUUUUUUUUCAAACGUCUAUUUCAUAAUUUACUUGUAAUAUUUUAGAAAAUGACCUUCAAAAUACAACGAAACAAUUAGAAAAUGAGUCAUCUUUUUCCUGAAAAUAAGUUCUUUUGCANNNNNNNNNNNNNNNNNNNNNNNNNNNNNNNNNNNNNNNNNNNNNNNNNNNNNNNNNNNNNNNNNNNNNNNNNNNNNNNNNNNNNNNNNNNNNNNNNNNNNNNNNNNNNNNNNNNNNNNNNNNNNNNNNNNNNNNNNNNNNNNNNNNNNNNNNNNNNNNNNNNNNNNNNNNNNNNNNNNNNNNNNNNNNNNNNNNNNNNNNNNNNNNNNNNNNNNNNNNNNNNNNNNNNNNNNNNNNNNNNNNNNNNNNNNNNNNNNNNNNNNNNNNNNNNNNNNNNNNNNNNNNNNNNNNNNNNNNNNNNNNNNNNNNNNNNNNNNNNNNNNNNNNNNNNNNNNNNNNNNNNNNNNNNNNNNNNNNNNNNNNNNNNNNNNNNNNNNNNNNNNNNNNNNNNNNNNNNNNNNNNNNNNNNNNNNNNNNNNNNNNNNNNNNNNNNNNNNNNNNNNNNNNNNNNNNNNNNNNNNNNNNNNNNNNNNNNNNNNNNNNNNNNNNNNNNNNNNNNNNNNNNNNNNNNNNNNNNNNNNNNNNNNNNNNNNNNAUUGAUCCCAACUCGGCAUUACCUCUAAAUCCGUCCUUUUCCUUGACGAAAGCGAGGGUUGCAACACAAUGUAUGUCCACAUUUUUUUAUCAUUAAAAAGGCUAAUUAAAGCUAUAAGAAAGAAAAAUGAUCAUAUCACGUCCUCCUCUUUUUCUCUUAAAUGGACAUUUUCAAUCUAUCUAUUGGAAGUUUGUUUAUAAAAUAAACAAAAUGUGUUCUUCCUUAUCCUACAUAGGAAAGUUAGGAGGAAAUAGGUCAAUUUAUAAAUGUGAGCCUUCUUUAGUGUGUUUAAAGAAAAGGUUUGGUGUGGGCUAAACCCUACAAUACCCGCAUGCGGGUGUGCGAAUAAUUGCACGAUUUUGGCAUACUUAGCAAUGUGUUAAACUUUUAAUAAUCCUUUUAAAACAUGCAAACUUGAAUGACAUCGUUUGCGGAAUGCAUGUGAAGUUGAAGAACGAGGAACAAAUAAAUAAGGGUAUGUUUGGCAACUUGCCAAACAAUUCUUGUUUCUUUUCUUUUGUUCCCAGGAGUAGAUUUGGAAUAGAAUUGCUUUUAAUAAAAUUUUUGUUCUCAUGAACAAAUUUCUAUUUUUUUGUUCCCGGAAGUAGAUUUGGAACAAAAUCGAGAAUAAAAAAAAUUGAUUCUUUGUUCCCUAGAACAAUUCUAGAAUCAAGUCAACCUAUUUUUUCUUUUUCCUCUUCUUUUUUCUUGUUCUUCUUCCCUCUCCCUUGUUUUUCAAGUGUUGCUACCGCUGCCAUUGACAUCCGCCACUGUCCACCGCCGCCGAUUGCCGGCGAGCUCGCCAAGCCAAGGUGAGGUCCGGCAAGGCCUGGCGAGCUCGCGAGGCUGCUCACCCAGCCAAGGCUUGGCCGAGCCUCACCCAACUGCUGGCGACGCUCCGAUGAGGUCACUGGCCCUCAUCUAGCCGGUCGCCAAUCAUCCCAAGGCCCGCAACCGGCCACCUUGAAGAAGGAGAAGAAGAAGAAGAAUGGGAGAAAGAAAGGAAAAAAAUAAAAGGAAAAAAAAAAGGAAAAAUAUAUAAAAAAAAAAUGAUUUGAAGUAGGAAUUGAAAUUUUGCUAUAUAUAAUACAUAUUUAAUUUUCUAUUUUAAUUUAUUAUUUAGUAUUUAUAUUUAUAGUUUAUACUAUAGUUUAUUAUUUACUAUUUAAUAAAAAUUUGAUCAGUUAAUAUUUUUAUUACUUAGUAUAUAUAUAUAUAUAUAAUUAAUCGAUAGAAUUUCUAUGAUUUGAUAGAAUUUUAGAAUGGAAUAGAAUUCUAAAUUCGAAUUCUUUUGAAAUUGAAAAUAUAAUAAAAUAUAAUAUGAUUUCUUUACUCUUAAGAAGACAAUUAUAUCGGUGAGUGGUUUAUGAGAAUUCAAUAUCAAAUUUACACUUAUCUAAAAAGGUAAUUGAAAAAGUAUUGGAAUAGAAAUUUUAUGCAAUUACCAAACGUAUUUCUAUUCUUUUUUCUAGUCCAGAAUCAGAAAUUUUGUGUAGUUACCAAACGCAUUCUUUUACUUAGAAAUUGUUCCUGGAAAUAGAAUAAAUAAAAAAUUAUUUCUGAUCAGAAAUUGUUCCCAGAAACAGAAUGGUUACCAAACGCAUCCUAAGCAACCACACAAGCAUACUACAAGGUGCAAGCUCAUGCGCAACUGUGAUGGUCGGAAGUUUUCUACGAAGAUGACAAGUAUGCUUAAACCCUCAGCAAUCCUAAGUCAAAAAAAGCUACUUUCAAUUUGGUAGAGACCGAUAUAGGCAUGCAAAUAAUAUGUUAUACCUAAUUUGAUUUGCUAAAGUAUUGAGUAUUCAAUCAUACGGCAAUUUGAUUUGAUUGAAAUUAUGCAAGCAUAUAAGCACCUCUCGAAAUGCAGAGACUAUCUCCUCUCGAAAUGCAGAGACUAUCUCCUCUCGACAUGCAGAGAAUUCUAAACCCUGUGUUUAGUUAUGGCUUCUACAACCUAACCCUAACUUCAAUAUCUACCAUCCUUCCUUGCAUCUUCAUCAUAUUUUCCCUUUCUUAAGGGUUUUGGAUUCGGUCUUCACCUGAUUUUUCUGAAGAAUCGUCUGCAUGUCCUUUUCCUUGGAAUUACCGAUGGCCUCUUCUCUCAUCGCUCCUGAUUGCACAUUUCCCACUUGAACAAGGUCUCUGUUUUUUAUGUGAUUCCUCAGUGUUUCUCUCUCUUCUUACUGGUACACGGUACGAUUCCUCUCCUCCGUUCUCUUCGUAAUUCUGGAAGUCUUCUUUGACUUGAAUUUGGCAUGUUGGGACACAACGACUCUGCUACUCUGGAUGUACUGUACUGGUAGUCUUCCCUCGGCUGGGUUUUGUGACGCUAUUUUUGAAAGACUUGAUGGCCUCCGAAGCAAUCCCUGAUUCUAUGCGACUAGCUGCCCUGUGCUCCCGACUGGGUAGGCUUACAACUAAGAGGAACAUCGAUGAAUGGGAUGAGGCACCACCUCCUUUAAAUUUGGAAGAAUGCAGUUUAUCUUUAGUUGGAAUGAUCCUUUCUAAUCCGUCCAUCAAUUUCCCUGCUUUCCAAACUACUAUAAAAAAAAUAUAAAAAAUAAAAAUAAAAAUAAAAACAUGGCAAGCUGAGCGAGUUGAAUUUACUCAACGCAAGGGUGGUCUAUAUGUCGUCAAGUUUCAGUCAGCUGCUGAUAACAAGCGUGUUCUGGAUGGUGGGCCUUGGCUUUUUUCAGGUCAUCUAUUUAUUCUUAAGCCAUGGCAGCCCAAUACCCCUCUACAUUGUUAUGAUUUUUCAACCUGCGCUUUUUAGAUACAAAUUUUCGGCCUACCUUUGGAAUGGACCACUGAAAGCCUGGUAACCAAGGUUGUGCAAGAUAUUGGUCGGGUCCUAGAAGUCCAUCUUGACACUAAGGAGGGACCUACUGCUAGAACAGGUUGUGUUCGGGUUGAGUUAACUCUACAAGACCCUCUUAGAACGGGUAAGCUGAUUCGUGUUGCUGGGAAAUUGCUGUGGCUGGAUUUCCGAUACGAGUGUCUUUUGCAUUUUUGCUACUCUUGCGGGAGAUUGGGUCAUUAUGCAAUGUAUUGCAAGGACAUUCCCUAUGAUGCAGCUAAAUUUGACACUAGAGAUACUAUGGUCUAUGGUCAGUGGCUUAAGGCCGAAAUUAAAGAACCUAGUCCUUUUUGGCAAUCUUUCUAUGCAUCGCAUGCUAUAUUAGACCAGCCUGAAGAAUCUGUACCUAAGACACCUCCGUCACAGCUGCUGAACGCUCCUCCUUUGCCUCCGGCCAGCCGCACAACCACAGCCAUGGUCCACCUUCCGGUUUCUCCAACAUCUUAUGUCCAUAAAGGGACAAACCAAUUGCAUUCUCAAAUGGAAUAUAUGGAUGAAAUUCCUACUCAUACAACUUUGAUACCUGCUUCAGUUAAAAUGAAGGGACCUCAGCUUCCUUCUAUGGAUACUCAGACCCCUAGGAAAAUCAAGAAUUCAAAGACGAUACCUAUUAUGAGCACUGCUAAAAAACAGACACGAUAUACGCCUUAUGACAAAAAAAAAGUUUACUGUUGUAUGACUUGGAUGAAGCAAACCUGAUGGACACACCUAUGCUUGGCAUCGAAGAAGAUCGAACUCGGGCGCUGGUAGCUGGCCCAACACAACUAUGUGACACUCCCCUACUUAUUGCUGACAAGCAAAGUAUAAGGGCUGAGGUGGCUUGCCCUCAAAAGCCACCGAUGGCAAAAUGAAAAUGCUAAGUUGGAAUUGUCAGGGUCUUGGGUCUACCCUGAUAGUUCAAGCCCUUCGGGCCCUUGUGGCUCGAGAACUACCGGAUCUCCUAUUUUUAAUGGGGACAAAGAAUGGUCCUGCAAAGUUAUCAAAAAUUCAGAAACAGCUUAAAUUUCCUCACUCCUUUUUGGUUAACCCUAUUGGUCUAGCAGGGGGUUUAGCUAUCUUUUGGCAUGCUCACCUCAAUAUCAGCAUAGUUCAUUCGGAUCCUGACUUUAUCGACCUAUUUCGCACUGACUUGGGGAACCAUAUACCUACUCGUAUCACUUGUAUCCAUACGUCGGCAGUGUUUCGGCUUUGACAGCAGUUCUGGGAGGUUCUUUGACGGAUUGCAUUAACCAACUCUUUACCGUGGCUCUGUGUAGGGGAUUUCAACGAAGUUACUUACCACUGGGAGAAAGUAGGGAAAAAGUUAGCUGAUUUUCAUCGUAUGUCCUCUUUUCGUGAGGUAUUACAUGACUGCUCCUUGAUUGAUAUGGAGAGCAAAGGCUGUGCAUUUACCUGGAUAAAUAACCGUCAAGGCGAAGACAGUAUCAAGGAGCGUUUGGACAGAUCUCUGUGCAACUUUGAGUGGAGAAUAGCUUUUCUGGAUGCUGUUGUCAGUGCUCUUCCAGCGGUGGGUUCUGAUCACAGCCCACUCCUACUGAAUACUGUAGCUUCCCAACCCAAGCGAGCCCGCCCCUUCAUUUUUGUUUUUGAAGCCUUUUGGCUACAACACCCAGACUGUAGCAAGGUUAUUUCCAAUGUUUUGCAGCAACCAACCAAUCACGCCAUGAUUUACCAUACCUCUUAAAAAAGGUCAGUCUCGCACUUUCCUCGUGGAGCCGCCAGACCUUCUCAAAUGCUAACAAGAGAAUCUGCGAACUACAAUAUAAACUUCAACAUAUCACAAACCAACUGGAUAUUCCCUAUGACAGACACGAAGUAACAACAAUUAAAUUAGAAAUUCAGCAGCUUUGGCAACAAGAAGAGCAGUUCUGGGCUAUGCGUUCGCGAAUCAAAUUGGUUGAAAUGGGGCGACAAAAAUACUAAGUUCUUCCACGCCACAACCAUCCAAAGAAGGCAGCAUAAUCGUAUUACAAUGUUACUCAAUGAGGCACACGGCUAGGUUAGAGAUGAAACUAUAUUAAAGGACAAGACUCAACUUUAUUUCUCAAACCUAUAUCAAUCAGUUGGUUUUCGUGAUUAUGGUCCAAUCCUUAACCAAUGCCCCUGCUUAGUCACCCCUGAAAUGAAUAUGGCUCUCACCGCCACGGUUACUAAGGCCGAAGUCUGUGCAGCCACCUUUCAGCUAGGACGGAACAAGGCCCCGGGCCCGGAUGGCCUCAAUGGACUGUUUUAUCAAUCCAACUGGGAUACUCUUGAGGAUGUAGUGUUCAAUUCAGUCCAGCAGUUUUUCCUUUCCAGUAAAAUGCCCUUGGCUCUCAACUAGACUGUUGUUACCUUAGUACCAAAGAUCUCCCUCCCACGGAGUCUCGACCACUACCGCCCUAUUAGUUAUGCAAUUUCGCCUAUAAGAUCAUUUCCAGAGUCCUAGCUAAUUGGUUGAAACCCCUAUUGCCACAACUGAUUUCACCUUAACAAUUGGCAUUUGUUAGUGGGCAUCAAAUUCAGGACAAUAUUUUGGUGGUCUAGGAGAUUAUCCAUCAGAUAAAAGCAAGAAAACGUCGGCGUCACUUCCCGGCAAUCAUUCGUAUGGAUAUGCAAAAAGCUUUUGACAAAGUAGAAUGGGACUUCUUGAUGGCCUACCUACAAAAGAUUGGCUUCCAUCCCCAAUGGGGUUAGUGGAUUUUCCAAUGCAUAUCAACUGUAUCUAUCAGUAUCAAGUUUAAUGGUCAACAGUUGGAAUUAUUUUCGCCCUUCUAGAGGUAUUCGUCAAGGGGAUCCUUUAUCCCCUUAUCUUUUCAUCCUAUUGACGAAUCUAUUAUCCACUCUCAUUCAUUGAGCCAUCGACAUGGGAUAGCUCAAAGGUGUUAAACUUAAUUGGUUUAGUCCUACUCUCUCUCAUUUGUUAUUUGCUGACGAUGCUAUAUUCUUUGUAAAUGGCACCACUGCUGACUGCCAUACCCUAGCAAGUGUUCUGUCUCAAUAUUGUUUAGCUUCAGGUCAGUCCAUCAAUCGAAACAAGUCCGGUAUCUUCCUCAGUAAGGACUGCCCAAGCUAUCUUAAAGCUAACCUGGCUAGUGAGCUCAGAAUACAUGUGCUGGAACGAAUGGGUAGAUAUUUAGGCAUCCCCUUUGAUUGGGGCCGAUCAAAAAGAGAGCUCUUUUCUUGGAUCUUGGGUAAGGUAAACUCUAAAAUGGAGGGCUGGAAGGAGAAUCUAAUCUCAAAGGGUGGCAAGGAAGUCCUUAUUAAAACCGUUGUGCAGACCAUUCCCUGGUAUGCAAUGUCUAUUUUUAAAAUCCCAAUAUCCAUCUGUAAAUCUAUUGAAAAAUAGAUUGCUAGAUUCUGGUAGCAGAAUGAUUGUUGAAAAACGGGGAUACAUUGGAAACAAUGGGCUGUGUUGAAAGAGCCUAAGGUGAAGGGAGGACUAGGCUUUCGAGAUUUGGCGGCUUUCAACAAAGCCAUGUUGGGUAAACAAGCAUGGCGUCUCAUCCAACAGUUGUCCUCACUGUGGAGCCAACUACUUAAGGCAAUCUAUUUUCCUACACAAGACUUUCGCUAUGCUCGGAAAGGAAUUCGCCCUUCAUGGGGCUGGCAAAGCUUACUGUUAGGAAGGGAGGUUAUACUUCCUAAUCUACAGUGGUCGGUUCGCGACGGCACAAAUAUCAACAUCAGGCAGGAUCGGUGGCUUCCUAGGGGUAUUCUUGGUGGACCUGUACAGCGUGAUCAACCAACAAUGGUGGCUGAUCUCUUAGUUCAGAAUUCGAAUAAUUGGGAUAUCACGACUCUAAACACCUAUUAUGAUGCACAAACAGUACAUGACAUACUCAGCAUUCCAAUGCGACGAAACCUCACCACUGAUAAACUAAUCUGGACAGCUACAACAAAUGGCCAGUAUACAGUUCACCGUGGCUAUCAUUCUAUCAGAGGAACAGAAAGAGAGUCUCUGACCUUACAUGCCUCAUCGUCAUAUCAGUCGCCUCCUCAACUUUGGAAGCGCAUCUGGAAGCUUCAUCUCCCACCGAAGCUCAGGGUUUUCUCCUGGAAUGUCUGCCAUAACGCCUUGCCCACAAAAGACAACCUUUAUCGACGUCGUAUCAGCCCCGAUCCCUUUUGCCCUCUUUGUCACACCCAUCAGCCGGAGACGAUUGAGCACCUCUUCUUGUUCUGCCCCUAGACAUCUGGAAUUUGGUCACACCCGUCAAUAGGUCUUUCCUUUGCAGACACAAAAAUCCGCCACACGGAUGAAUGGUUUGCUAAUCUAAUUUUUGAUAAACAGCUCGUACCUGCCCUGGAGUUUAUUAUAGCCGUCUGUUGGCAAAUCUGGAAAGCCAGAAAUAGCGCGAUCUUCUCCAACCAUCACCUGGAUCCAUCCUUUGUUGUACUUGCUGCCACAGCCCAGGUUUGAUCUACUCAACUCUCCCAUCCGUCUUUGCUGCGACAAAGUCAUCAGGGCGAAACUUUGGAUUGUUUCUGGCGAUCUCCUCCUCUGGGGUCCCUCCGAAUUAACAUAGAUGGGGCUUUCAUCUCCGGCGAUAUCACCGGAUCUAUUGCCGUCAUUUGUCGAGACCAUUCUGGGCAUUUGAAGGAUGGAUUUACCAGAUCUAUGCCGGCAGUGUCGGCUCUGCAGACAGAAACUCAGGCGCUUAUUUGUGCUCUCCGGUACGUGCUUCAACUCCCUUCAAUGUCUACCCCUCUGGAGAUUGAAUUGGACUGCUUUGUCUUGGUUGAAGCCCUCAACGACCGGCAAGAGCCUCCAUGGGAGAUCCGCCCCCUUCUCCACGAAGUCGCUCCCCUUUGUAGCGCUAUCCCUCUUGUUGACACCUAAAUUUUGGUGACCCUUUUAAUUAAAAAAUUAGGAAUUAAUUUUAACCCUUAAAAAUAUUAGUUAAUUAAUUAAUUGCAUAGCAUUUAGUUUUAGGUGCAUUUAUUUUAAUUUGCAUUUACAUUGGGCCGGUGACAAAUGGGUUCAAAUUGAUGGUUCAGAAUAUUAAUUUGGUGAAUUGGACUAAGCCCACGAAGGGAGUAAAUCGGCUCAAGCUCGUAUCCUCGGAAAGAUUUUACGGAUUGAUUUGUGCGAGAUUUCAAAUUUUAGAAGAAUCCUCUUGCAAUCCUAAAUCGUAUCAAAAGCAAAUAUUGCAUUUGGAAAAAGGAAUUUUCGUUGAUACGGAUUUUGAAAAAUUAAAACCCUAAUCGUGGCCUAUAAAUAGAUUAAACGCGUAGGGUUUGAGGAGGAGGCCACAUACACGUUGAAUAUACGGCCAUAUUGUGGGGUCUUUUUUCUCUCGAUUCGAAGGUUAAAAAUUCAGGCCAUAAGAGAAAAUUUUCCAUCGUUUCUUUAGGGUUUGUCGAGAAAAAGUCAAGGUUUUAAGCUUUUGUUGGAAAAAGAAAAAGGGCGGCGGCAGAAGAGAAAGAGUUGCAGAGAGAAAAGAGAUGUGAGGGGACAGGUGAGUGCGAAAGAAAAAAGAAUAAAAAGAAGAAAAGCAGGGUGCUGUUCAUCUUCUUCUUCCGACAGCCGGCCACCGCUCCCUCCACCCGAGAUCCAGCCACGACGCCGCGCCGCCGCACCCCUACGCCAUCGCCACCCCGCCGCCCACGCCGCGUCUCCGCCUCUACGCGACAUCACCGGUAUCCCGAUCUGCCCACUCGAGAGCCCCGACGACCACGGAUCCGAGCCGGUCGUCGCUCCGCCGCCGAGCGAGCCCUCACACCGGCCCGCAUCUCCUCUGUUGCUCGUGCCGCGCCACCACCAGGGUUCCCCUCGUCCCCGAGCAGCUACGCUGACCGCCACUUGACUCCUCGCGACGAAUCGACACCUGCCCCAUCAACGGCAACUCAAUCUAACGAACUCUAGACGUCCUGAACGAGAAUCAAAGCCGUCCUCGCCUCAAGCGCGCAUCUUGACUACCCCUGCGGAAGUUCCUGCAGAUCCAUGGCGCUGCACCAGUGAUUCAGUAAUCCUGUCCACCUCAGCCCCUGCCUUAACAGAUUAGUAGCUCCAGAGAACACCGGCAGUCGCUUUGGCGUGUCGCAAUCUGCUGGUGAGUUGCCCGGAGGAUUCCAGUUUGCUGCAACGCUUCUUGCAACAAGUUCCCGGCAACUCUGGUGAACAUCCAGCGAACACCGUCAUCACCGAGCUUCAACACCAAGAAUCUGCCGUCUCCCAGCCUACACCGCACGAUGAUCCGCCGUUACCGUUGCUGAUCUUUCACCUUGUUGUGGAGCUGUUUCUCUGUUUCGCAGGUUAUCAAUCAUUAACAAACCACUCCGAGGCUCCCACUGUCGCUGCCAUGCCUCAAUAUCAUGGGCCGAGCACUGCCCUCGCCGUAAAUCCCUAAGCCGUGACCGAGUUGUUAUCCCAUGGCGUCCCCAUCCAGACGUGAAGCUGCUGCUCACCUUAGCUCAAUGCCAAACCCAUAUCCUCCCGGUGGCAGUAGACGUCUCGUCCCUACCGUUUGCCGCCUCGGCCUGCCCCAGCGUUGAAGUUCCAGCGAACGCACGGAUUAGCUCUUGCAGUUUUCGGGCACGAAGCUUAUCAUCCCAACACCACGAGCAACCCCGACGACGCUCAAUUCUGACGGCCACGUGUCUUAGCCUUUCAAUGCCGCGAGUAGUCCAACAACGCCGCUGCUGCCCCGAGCGCCAACACUGACCCACGAUCGUCAAUCCGCGUCAACAACGAAGCCAGCUGCUAUUAACACCCAACUUGCCUUCAUCGUGGGUUGCAACGUGAUUCUUCAAUCAUUUCUUUUAAAUGUUUUUUUCAUGCAGGUUGAGUUUUCACGUGGGGAUAACAUAAUUCAUAUAGUUGAGUAGUGAAGAGAAGAGGCACGUGGAACACCACCUGGUGGGAUACGCUGUUUUUGGUUGAGGCCAAACGAAAGUCAUCCUUGACCAUUGACUUCAGCUCGCGUCCUCUGCCAACGUCCGCGAAAUCUCUAUCCGCAAGCUCCAUCUCCGCGAGCUCGCUGACACCGUGAGCCGUGUAAUCGCCGCCGUUCGUGAGUCCUUUGCCGCUGACAAUUUAUUUUAUUUUUAUUAUCGUUUUAUUUUUCUUUUAGUGGAAUUAUUCUUUAAUGUUUGAUUGAGAUUCCGACAUGAAAUUGCCUCUGAAAUUUGAGAUUGACAGUCCGAUUUUCGCGCCCGAAAUCCGACUCGCAAUCACAAUCGUUUGAAAAAUUGCCAAUCCGAUCUCACGCUCGAAAUUCGAUUCGUGAUUUAUUUAAAAUUAUCCAACCCAAUCUCAUGCGUGAGAUAUGGUUUGCCAAUUUGCAGAUAUCAAUCCUAUCUUAUUUGAUUUGCCAUCGUGUUAGUUGAGUCAAUUUUAAUUUUGUAAAAGGAAAUAUCCAAAAAAAUAUUUGAAUUAGCAUUAGGUUGGUUUUAGAAUAUCUCUUGUUAUAUUGCAUAUUUAGAAUAGGGAUUUUAUUUCAAAUUUAAAAAAAAAAAUGCAUUCAUUUAGGAUGUUAGUUUUAAAUUUGAAUUGCACGUUUAAUUAUUUGGCAAUUUUUAAUUUCGAAUUUCAUAAUAAUGAAAAAAGAAAAAAAAAUAGAAUUAGGGCAUUCUUUACACGUCAUUGCAUAGUAGAAUAAAUUGCAUGCUUAUUUAGAAUAGAAAUAUCGUGCGUACGUCAUAUAAUGCACGUCAUUUAGUGAUUUUUGUUAGGAUCAUUUAAUUAGAAAUUGCCCGUCAUUAAGAUUAGGUCAUUUUGGUUAAUUUAGAUUGCAUAUUUAAUUAUCGCAUUUUUUACUCAUGUCAUAUAGCUAAGUCAUGUUGCCAUGUCAUAUCAUUUCAUGUUAAAUUAGUGGCAUGCAUUGCAUAAAGCAUGAUUCUCAUUAGUUAAGUAAAAACAAAACAAAAAUUGCGUGUUAAUUAGAAACCAUAUCUAAGGUUGUUGAUGUGGAUUUUAAUUUAACAUUGCAGAUGCUUUCGUUGCUAUGAGGUAAGUUUUUGCAAUUUAUUUAAUUGUUUUCUUGAGUGUUAAAUUGGUGGUUUGCGUACCUGCAUGAUCACCUCACAUGUUAGGAAAAUAGAUUUAAAAUCAAUUCAAAUUGCCUGCAAAAAACAUUUUUCAAAAUAAAAAGAAAGGUACCGAAAGGGCGUUAGAGAAUUCUAGCGUAACCAAGUGCCCGUACCCAUAGUCUCUGGUUCGUAGGAGUAAAAUAAUUCUCCUAUUAUUUUACUUGGGUUUCUAAUCGACCCACCAAAAAUAGAUUAGUAGCGACUCCUGAUUGAAAAUUAAUUGCAUGUUAAGAACUUGAACCUAAGUUGCGAAUUGGUAUGGGCUUGGGAGAGCCCGAGUUAAGUCUAGGCUUAAUAAUCCAUUAGCCAAAUCCUAGGUGGUUCACACUCGAAAAAUUGGUCGCGACAGCUCUUUUGCAAAUUAGGUUUUGUGCUAGGGUUGCCAAUUCAAUUGCUGAUUGGGCAGCACGAGCCCACAACAAGGGCUGCCUCUUCCCUUCUUGGGCCGAAUCCCCCCCCCCCUCUCCCCUUCUCGACUUGCUGUUAUCAGACAUUAUAGCUGCUAACUGUAUUUCCUAUCUUUAUAAUUAUAUUAUCCUUCUAUCAUAUGGUAGAAUUGACUACACCACCUGUGCUUUUUGUAAUGAAGUCCCGGAUUCCACUGACCACUUAUUUUUUGAUUGCCAUCUAACGGCUUCUGUCGCUUAUUUUUGGGCCACUCGCUGCAAUCUUCCUUGGCGUCCUAGGCCUUGGAAGGAUAACCUCCUCUGGGCUAUACGGUUCCUCAAAGGCAAAGAUUUUUUUCACAUUAUAGCACGGCAUUCUUUUGCUGCUAUGUGCUAUAUCAUUUGGAAGAAAAGGAAUGCCAUUAUCUUUCGUGGAGAGUCGGUCGUCCUUACUUUAAUCAAAAAUCACCUUAUCAAAAGUGUGAAGGACAAAGCUGCAAGUUUUUCUAAUAUCCCUGAUAUCUCGAGGAAUAGACGUCUCCAGCAGAGUUGGGGCUUUCACCCAGCUAUCUUUAGCGAUCGACAGGAACAAGCUUAGAUCGGUGUCCUUCAACACCCUGCCUCUUCGGUAUCCGGGCAUUGGCUUCUCUUCUGGCAGCGGAGGGUCUUUGCUAUCUUAGCAACCACACAAACAUACUACAAGAUGCAAGCUCUUGCGCAACUGUGAUGGCCGGAAGUUUUCUACGAAGAAGACAAGCAUGCUUCCACUCUCCCUACAUUGUAUCGAGAGUGCAAGAUUAGGAGCCGGUCGAGUUUUUUGUAUAUUUGUUCUAAGCUAUAAUACCAUUUACCUUACCAAAAAAAAAAAAAAAAGUCAUACGGUAAUUCUUCGUGUUGGGUCCCACCUUUUUUUUUAAUACUAAUCAUUGAAAGCAUGACAUGCCAUUUAAUAAAACCAAAAUCCCAAACUUCUUAGUGACACUAGCAUCUUUGAGAAGUCGUUCGUUAAGUUUUCAAACCGCUCUUCCACAAUCAAUUCAGAAUCAAAUCAAUGGUAGACAAAAGGAAUUACACGUGGCUCAAUCGAAUCUCGAUAUACUAAUUGUGUGAAACAUGUUUACAUUGUCUUUUGGAGGAAGUUCAGUCCCAUCAAUAUCUUAUUUCUAAUUUCUUCAUCUAAAUUGUAACUUCUUUAUUUUUAAGGUUAAGUGCGUUCGAAAUUUUAAAACUUAUGAUGAAAGUAUUAAAUACUAAAAUUUUUAAGUCCUAAACUUGUCAAGAAAUGCGACUAAGUCUUAAAACUUUCAAAAGUGCAUUUAGACCCUAAAAAUUAUCAAAUUUAUGCAAAUAAGUCCUUCCAUUGAUUGUAGUUUUGAAAACCGUAGGACUCGAUUACACUUUCAUGAUAAGUUUUAGAAAUUGAUUGCAUUUUUGAAAAUUAUAGGAUUCGAUUGCAAUUUUAUUAUAAGUCUUAAGAUUUGAUUGUACUUUUAAUAGUUUUAGGACCCAAUUGUACUUUCAUAACAAACCUUAGGACUUAUAAUACAUUAAUCCCUAGUUCAAAUGAGAGAAUGCCUUGAAUUUCAUAAGAGGUGAAGGAGAUCUAGAGAAAGGGAAAGCAACAAGAAAAAGUAGGCGUGAGUGUUGUGAGGCGAAAAGGAAAGACUAAAAGAGAAGGGGAGGUGUGCAUAAGACAUUUAAAAAAUAAAUAAAUAAAUAAAUAAAUAAAUAAAAUUGUUUGGGUGGUUCAAUUCUUCCCUUGGAAUCGAGAACCAGGCUGCUUAGACACCGGUUUCAUUUUUAGAAACUGGGAACCUAACCAGCACUUCGAGGAACCGAACCCAACUAGCCAGCUUGGUCUAAUCCAAACGGUUUCUGAUUUGGUCGGUAUGUCUUACUCAUCCCUACUUUUAAAGAAUAUUUUUAUCUUUCUAGAUAUUUAUAAGUUAUUUUUACUAUAGGCCAUGAUAUCAUAUCUAUAAAUCUGUUUUGUUUAAAUUGCUCUAAACUCUUAAUAUUAAGUUAACAGUAUAGUUGGUAUAAUCUAAUAAUAUGCCGAUAAGUAGGUUGUCUUUAUGCUCGAAUGUGUCUGCGCAUCAUCUUUUAUCAGAAAAUUUAUCGAAUGAUUCGCACAGAGCGUGGAGCAACGUCUAGUUAAAUAUAUACCCGAAACCGGAGAAACUCUCCUUUAUGCACCAUGAAAAUGUAGACCUAAAUUUGACUAUUAAAUAUCUACAAUUAAAAAAAAAAAGGGGGGGGGAGGCAUCUACAAUGGAGGCAAUUCAUUAACUUUACAUCUCUCGGACAUUGAAUCUGCAUGAGAUAACAUCCACCCAAUGAACAUUUAGUGGGGAUGAGGGAUGAAGAAGUAAAUAUUCUUUCCAAUCAUGCACGUGUUUAUCAAUGAGAGGAAUUGACAAGCGUUCGACAGAUGGGGUGGGGGGGAUGUCGACAGAACGAAUAUUCACAGAUCAAAGAGGCUUUUCACCUUAAAUUUUUAUUGUGUUUUGAGGAACAAUUCGACAGUACAAAAGGCACGGGUGAGAACGAGAGUGAAUUAUCCUCAACAUCAUCCCAAAGUCACCGCCCAUUCUCUUAUCAUUGUUUGGCCUCUGAUAUUUUGUUUGUGAUGGCUCUGAAAUGUCAUCUUUUUAGGGUUUCUGAGAGAGAGAGGUUAUCUAUCUGCUGGCAUCUGUAAAAGUGGUAGUCUCUGUCUGAGAUAAAGAUCUUUGUUUUCUCUUUCGUCUCUCUGGAGAGGGAAUGUCAAGGAAAGAGAGGAGAACCAACUUGUGAUUUUGAGAUCUCUCUCUCUCUCUUUCAUGCUGUGAUGCCAGGAUCCGACCUCGCAUUCUUCUUUAUCUUUUUGCUGUCUGCUGUGCUGCUGGCUGAUGAUAAGAAAGAUCACAUUCUGUUCUGCAACUCGCGCCUGCUUAUGUCUCUAGGAACUUAUAGGAUUCUCCGGUGACAAGAUCUCCCGUCGUAAUUUUAUCAUAAUCACGUGCAUUUUAUUGUAUUUUCUCUAUAAAGAAUUGUAACAUACAAAAAUUUAAAGGAUUGAUCAUCGCCAAGUCAGAUUUACUCUCAUUUUCAUUCGAUGCCAAAGGAUUUUUAGAAACAUAAUGUUUACCAUUCCCUCCCCCCCCCCCCCCCCUUCCUUUUUCGUCACGUUUUAACAAUCAACCAAUGACACUAAUCCCCAUUUACUAAUCCAGCUUCGAAAGCAUCCACCAACAACCUAAACAUAUUAAUCCUUUUAACAUAUAGAAGCUUCUACAAUCCGUUGAGAAACCAUCUUUCAAGAGAUUAAUAGCCGUUGGACAAAUAAGAUUCUCAUUGAUUACAAAUUCUUUUAAGCUUUUGUGUCUCAUGACCUUUUGUAAUUUGAAUAAGAGUUACGAGAAAAUGCAUCAUGUUUUCACAAUGAGUUAUGAGCUAGGAAUCAGUCUUCGAUGGAUCAUGGAAGCCCCCUCGAUCAUGACAUCUAAAAUUGUUACUACUUUGCUAUGGAGAGUUUGUGGACCAUUUAUUGACUUCAGCGGGUCAUGACUCAAUUGGUAUUGCAAUCCUUCAAAAGGAAGAUAAUAUUAGCGAAGCUAAAUGUUUCAAAUUAUUUGUGAAAGCAAUCUGAUUAGAAAAGACAAUCUUCUUUAUUAAUUUAUGUAUUUUGCUAUAAUUGGAGAGAAUAUUGAAAGACGAAGCAUACAAUUUCCAUCUAUUCUUUAUGAAUUCUACAUAUCACUAUAUUAUAGACCCAAGUAAGUAUUUAAAAGGUUCAAGAUAGAAGAAAUAGAGGGAAGAACCCCCGAGGGGUAGGAUUCCCCAAUGUCACCUGCAAUAUUUCCUCCUAGGUAGGAUAGAAAAAUAUUUACCCAUAAAUAGAGAGGGCCUUUGGUGGUGAAGGUAAACACCAUGUCGUGUCUCCGGGUAUGCUACCGUCGGGUAGCAUGGUAUAGUAGUCUUAUCAUGCUUGGGGUGAAGAAGUGGAGCUCACAAGGGCUCCUGCUAGGUUGGUGUGUGCUCACACAAGUCUUGUUACCGACUGCCAACCUAGUACCCCUUGGUUUCAAGACUUGUGCAAAAAUCUUUAUGAAUUGUGUCCAUCGAUAUAAGACUCAAUAUUCCUAUUUCCCAAAUGAAAGUAGGAUGAUAAGGGCUAUCACUACAAGAUCUUCAAGUACGAAAUUUUUUCUUCUUAUUUAGAAUGAACUUAAACAAUAGGAUAAGAACUCGAGAUAAGCGCCAAUGCAUUAUGAAUGUGAUGAAUCCAACUGUCUUCAUUUGAUAAGAAUCAAUCCAAGCGUUUUCAAGAUUCCACCGCACAUUGAAAGAAGGUAGAUCUUGAUCCGUCAGAUCAAAAUGUUCGUCCUCAGCCAAAGUAGACAUAUAAACCCAUGAAACUAAAGCAUCUAGGAAAGACUUUAGGUCCUUUUUAUUUCAUGGCUACUGUGCCCUAAGAUUUUAGGGUGGAGUGGCCUUUCUGCAGGGCGUACAUACGUGGCAGCUUGAAAGACUCAAACAAAUUGACAUUAAAAAAAAAUGCAAGAUUCGAAAUGGUGACGAUGAAAAGUCGAAUUGUGAAAGUGAAGUGACCUUUCGGAUUUGGAUCGUUGUGCCUUUCGAUUUUGCAGGGCCAAAAAAGCAGUCUAGAACAUGGGGUACGCGCGAGAAUAAUAUCAAUUGAAAAAAGGUGUAUAAAAGUUUGGAUAAAUGAUUGUGUAAAUAGUUCUUACAGGAUCAAAUUUGGUCGAUAUUCCUAAUAUAUUCGGAUUUGUGGAAUCUUUACUUGGCCAGUUGAUGAUAAUUUUUAGUUUAACAGACUUAUCUGAUAUAACACUAUGGUUAAUUAUUCCUAGUGCCUUACAUUCUCCUAGUCAUACAAAUCAAAGGGGAAUUCCAAUCUAGAAUUUUUCGUUAGUGAUAAAGUUUGGGAGAACUUUGUAUGCUAAGGACAUAGUAUCAACAUCUAAUUAGUCUAUUUUGAGAUGAUCAGGCACUGUUUAUCCAAGAAAAAGUUUUGUGAUACCCUUGACUAGGUCUAAGUUCGUUGAAUUAAUUUUCAACUGGACUUGGUAGCAUGAGUGUAUGAGGACUCCUAAGUGAAGUUCGAGAAUAUAUAAGGACAUAAUGAAUUUGAGUAUGUAAUCAAUUUCUCCAGAAGUUUAAUUUAUUAGAGAAAUAUUAUAUAUUUUAUAUUUGUAAAAACGUCUCACGUAAAGAUUCAUGGGAUGGUGAAGGCUUUAAACCCAAAGAACUAGAUAGUUGUGAGGUAUGAUAGUGAAUAACUUAAGUACAUAUGAGUCGAAAAUAGUCAAUACUUAUGACAGAUAAAGAAAAUCCGAAGAUGAAUAAUGAUAAAGCAUGAGGAAUUAAACCUCAGAUCUCUUGGCUCUUGUUGAAAACUAUAUAACCUUUUAGCAUUGUCUGCUUGAAAAAUCAUAUGUAGAAGAGAUGACAAAAAGAAGAGUUGGCUGAAUGAGAAAUGAAUAAUCGUAUACAAGUCUUUCUAGCUACAAGUAGAUUCACACCACAUUCAAAUGAGCGUUGGGCCAAAUGACCCUAACAUAUUAAGCUGAAAGAUAGAGGCGUGAUUAGUUGUUCAUGCUCUUUUGGCCUAGAAAUAGGCCUUGUAAAAGCUUUGCAUCAACCUUAAUUUAAACUGUUCCUUGACUUCAAAAAGUGGUUAGAUAGACUAGUAAAGCCAACAUGGUUCCCAAAGUUUGACCAUGAUCUUAUGCGAGUUCAAAUCCAAGGCAGUUAACAAUCACAUGAUGAGUUAUACCUCUUUAGUUAAGGCAAAGUCACACAUUUCGACUUUCCAAAGUCACUAACGCUGUAGGUAGAAUCUUGUUCUUUAUUAGGACAUAAAGGCUUGGGAAAAAGAUAUAGGGUAGAGUCUGAUUUGAUCUGGUUGGUGUUCUUGUCCUAAAGGAGUACUUGUUUUUACCACAUUGUUCUUCUUUUCAUCUUAUGUGUACCUUGCGCAUAAUCACCAGGUCUUUCUCAAUCCUCUUUCUCGAACACAGAAUGAGAAUCUUCAGAGAGAGAGAGAGAGAGAGAGAGAGGGGGGGGGGGUCCCCAAGUGGAUAAACCAUAGUUUCAUUCUCCAACUCAGCAGAUGCCUCCAAGAUAUAUACACGCAGAAAAUUCCCGUGGUUGAAAAGAACUUGUUUCAACAAUGAGCCAAAUGGGGGCAAAAAAAAGGAACUUAAAUGAUGGAUAAAGUACAUUUUGGUAUCCACGAAUUGAUUAGUAAUCUUUCCAAAUUAUAAACCGUAGCUAGUAUUGAGAAGAAAAUGAGGGAGAUGGGUUUAAUUGCUAAAGGAGGGAAGAAAUACUCGGCCUAAAAAUAAAAUUGCACGUAAAAUGGAGGAUGCUCAUACGAAUAUAAGAUGUUAAGAAAAUAAGAAAAUAAAGGAUGCUCAUACGAAUAUAAGAUGUUACGAAAAUAAGAAAAUAAAGGAUAUAGUAGAUAUAACGCGAAGCCGUACAAAGAACAUGUUGCCUCUGUUACGUAUGGAAGGAAUCUUAUUCAUUUGUAUGCAGCUUCUGUUCAGUGCAAGUUCAAAAGUCCUUGUCCACGUUGCAAUGAUCAAGAGUUCCCUGAGGAUCCUUGUGAAAAUAGCCAAAUAUCUAAAGGAAAAUUCUCUCUCUCACACACGGGCACGCAAGCCCAGAACCCUCCUUGAAACAUCUAUAUAAGCACGCCCCUCAUGAAGCCUCAAGCAAUCCACAUAACACAAGAAACUCUUAUAUCACAUUCCAAACUUCAAGAGAUCACUUUACUCUCUCUUCUAGCUUAUUACCACUCUCUGGAAUUUGCUUUUGUCGACAUUCUCGGAGCUUCCGACAUCUCGAAUCUUUUUUCUCAAUGGAAGAUCUGGUGGCCAAGAUGAGCUCGGAGAAGCCGGUAGUGAUCUUUAGCAAGAGCUCAUGUUGCAUGUGCCACACCAUCAAGACGCUUCUUUGCGACUUUGGGGCGAACCCUACAGUCCACGAGCUAGAUGAGAUUCCGAGAGGCAAGGAGAUCGAGCAAGCCCUUGUGAGACGCGGGUGCAACCCGGCAGUCCCCGCUGUGUUCAUCGGCGGCCAGCUUGUCGGUGGAGCCAAUGAGGUGAUGAGCCCCAUCUCAGUAGGUCCUUGAUCCCUAUGCUCAAACGCGCCGGAGCGUUAUGGGUUUAAAGAUUUCAUCGACAGUCUCAUCCGGCCAAAUAAGAAAGAAGAAUAAAUAAACAAAUGUGUGUUUUUUUUUUGGUAAAGAACAAAUGUGUGUUUUCGGUACACAUGAGUUUGGAAAUAUAGGUAUAUUAGUCGAACGUGUGGUCAUACUAUGAAGAGAGCUUAUCAUAGUUAAUAUUAGACAAAAUGCUAACUUGUACGGGGUUUGUAUCAUUUUGUGGUGACUCCUGUGUCUGAUCUGAGCAAUAAAAGUGACGCAGUUUUGCUAUAUAUAUAUCUACUUUUUUAUAUGUAUUCGGAAAGAAUUGACUUUAAGUAAACAGUUUGCAUAACCUUUGUUUCACAACUCACGUCCAUCUCCAUUGAUUUAGAUAGUCAGUCAACUUUUCUACCCAUCAAAAUCUUACUUGUUUGGAUCUACUCACUUUCACUUAUAGAAGGCACCAUUAACUUAGGUGAACUAUUAUUGAUCCUUUGAAGGGGCUUAACAACUUUUAAGUACAUGAGUAAGAAUUCGUCAACUAAUUAUGGAAGUGUGGCAAUUGAUUGAUGUAACCCCUAAAUUUGAAAUCGCGAUUUUUUAAUGCGGUGAUAUAAAACGUAGACAAAUGAUGCCAUUCUAAACGUCGCAAUUAAGAGGAUGUAGGAUUUAUGGUUGUAGAAGUGUAAGAUUUUCCAUAAUUUUUCAGACAGGCAUAAAGGUUCAAGCAAUUCAAACAAUAAAUAAGUAAUAUAAGGCGAGAGUAACUGGAUAAUCAUACAUAGAUAUUCGCUCUGACGUGCCUUAAUUUUAUAUCCCAAAUUAAUAACGUAACAAGGUUGGAAUCUACUAGUCAAACAAGUGUUAUACAAAUCGCUACACCGCAGAACUUGUUUCAUGUUAAAAUGUCAGUGUUCAACUCAUUAUUUCAUUUUUAUUCCUCAAGAAAGAGCUCUCACUUUUAUUUCAUUCAAGGUAUCUAGGUUUAUCAAGUAAUCAAUAUGCACAUGAUGGAGAACGUAAAUCUCAAACCUAAAUGAUUGUGGGCAUGCUAUAUCCGACAACCAGAUCAAUUUCAAAGGGACAUGGUGAGGAUCUAAUAUGUAAUUAUAUAUGACCCACUUAUCUAACUAUUUAUUACAAUGCACUACACUUCAUAAAUUAAUUUCAUAUAUCGAUCUUAGCGUCUAAUUUAUUUUUCUAAGUGGUUAAAGCUUGUGAGAGGGUGAGCAACUUGGCAUGCUCACGUGCGAGCUUUACCUAGUAAUUUGCCUUUUAUGGUUGCUAUAGAAAAUUUCUAAUACUAGCAAAUCUCUUAUUCCUAUACAUAUUUAGAUAAAUAAUCUCUAAUCGAUGUACAUAUUUGACAAAAAAUUAAAUGAAUAUUAGAAAAUCAACAAAAAUAAGUUUUAGCAUGUAUAAAAACAAUCAUUACAUAGUGUGAUAGAUAAAAAUAAAAAUAAAAUUUAAUUUUAAUAUUAUCCAAUUUUCCGUACUUCAUAAAUUAAUAUUCAAGUAAAUGCAUGAUGAGUGGUGACCAUUGUUAGGGCUACAACUAUUACUUAGAGGGGGUGAAUAGGUGAAUAUGUGGAAAUUGAAAGAUAAUCGAAUUUAAUAUUGCCAUAGGACAACGUCUAAUGACAAGCUGUGCAUAAUCAAAUCUUAUCAAUGUGCAAUAAUCUAUCACAAGAAAUAAAUAAGAAUUUAAGGAAUAGAAAAAUGCACAGAACAAUUAUAGUGGUUCGGCUUAUAAUAAACCUAUGACCAUUCUCUCCGCCGACAACCUUGGUUAGAUUCCACUAAUGAACCGCUCAAAGGUUACAACAACCAAGUAUUCUCGACUCGAGUAAGUGUGAUGAAAUCUUAUGAUCUCACAUUACUACAACAACCUCUAAAGAUUACAAGUUAAGCUCACAAAGACGAGUGUGUAAAAACAAAGCUUUCUCAAACUUUGGAAUUUUAGGAUUUCAGUUCUCUUUUUUUUUUUUUUUUCCUUCUCCUUUAAUACUCCUUGUUCUCCUAGCCGACCAUUGGACAUAAACUCUGAGAAUUAUUCUUGCAAUCAACCCAAUGGACUUGAAUGAAUCAAGAAAAUUUGAUUGCUCCUAGGAUGCCAAGAAUCUAAGUCUCCCUUGAUUUUGCUGCCCAUCAAGAGAGAUUAGGUGUCCAUAAGUUGAGUUCUUCGUUUGCAAAGUGCGUCUCAUCUCCAAUUGAUUGUUGCAAGAAUUAUUUUUCAAUAGGGAAAGAUUGCGUGGAUAUUAUCCCUCAUAAAUAAUCAAUAAGUAUAGAAAGAAAUCUAGGCCAAUUUACUAGCCAUUGCACUUCACAUCAUAUGGAAUAUCGAAAGUUCUCCUAACAUUUGAUUGUCUCGAUAAUCCUUGCAAAUUACACAUUUGCCUCUGAUUAAGAAGAUAUAAUCAUAUUCUAAGUAGCACCGACACCAACACACGAUAUCCGAUACAUCAUUUAUAAAAAUAAAUAAAUAAAUAAAUAUAGAAUUUGGACACGUUGUAUAUUAAAUAUGUAAUUUUAUAUAUACAUGAUAAAUUAUCAUUUGAUGAUUAUUUUAAUCAAAUUAAUUUGAGUACAUAAAUAAAUAAAAUAAUAAAAGAGCCUUAAAUGAAUUUACACUAAAAAUAUUAAUCCAUUAUUAGUUAAUAUCAUUCAUUAUUUCAAUUUGACAAAUUUAACUCAAUUCCAAUAAUUCAUCAAACUUGAAAGAAAAAACAAGCAAUCCACAUUUUAGACUCACGUGUCGAAAAAAAAGAAGACAAAAGAUAAACUUGAGGGGUAAAUUGUGUGUCACAGAAAGUGAGAAUUAUAAGAGAAGAGAAUACUAGAUUUUUCUUCUUUCUCCGUUUAUUAUUUUUACUACAUUUUGACCCAUUAUUAAUUGAAAAUAUAUAAAAUUGACUCGUGCAUAUCGAAAUUCUGAACUCACAUGUCGAAAUUUUGGACUCAAGUGUCAGAGAAUGUCAUGAGAGUUGAUCAAGUGUCAAAAAGUCUGACACCCGUUUACUGAGUAUCGAAGAGUGUGGGAGAAUGUUGGACACAUGUCUAACUGUCCGACACGAUACGAAAGCUCUCAAAGAGUGUCAGUACUUCAUAUUCAUAUAUUGAUGUAGAGAACCAGAUUCACUAGUGUCUUGAAUUUAAUGAACAUAUUUGCUCCAACCACCGCACCUGAAAAUUUAUCAUCAAAAUUAUAAAACACUAUGUAAAGAUUUUGUUGAUCUUCAAAAUCAUUUAGGGAAUUUGCCUAACUACCCUCAUCAUAAAGUGCAUUAUAUUUUUUAAAUUUGUACUAAACUAUCAACUAAAAAGUUACCCAUCGGCAUAGAAAACCAACAACACAUUUACAAAUCAAUCAAUCGUAUAAAAUGAUGGAAAAUGAGUAUUAACAAAUCAACAAAAACAAUUACUAAUGAUUUCAAAAAAAAAAAUCUAACGAAAGAAAUUAGAUGUCUGGGUAUUGCUUCAAUUUCAGCUCAGUUGUUACUUUGUAAAAAAUAUCAAAAAAUUGGGUGGUGUUUAGACUCAUUGAUAGAAAAGAGGCUAACUUCGACGAACUUUGGAAAGCAACAAGACAAUACAACGUUUCAGUGCAUCUAAUAGUUGACUUUAAUUAUCAAUAAAUGCAAAUUAACUUAACAACCAACAUUUAACAUAAUCUUAAAAAAAAUAUGGUCUUACAAGUCGUGCAACACACUGGUGUCUUGCUACGACUGUAUAAGUUGUCUGUUUUGCAUAAUUUUUUUUAGUUAAUACCACGAAAAAUGCUAAAUUGAUAUACAUAUAACAAAUUUACUUCAAACUAAUUUUUUUACCAUGAAAAACUCUAAACACGUACGCAUGUGACAAAUUUACUCUAAAGUAAUUUUUUUACCAUAAAAAAUCUCAAAAUGGUAUACAUGUGACAAAUUUUUCCCAAAUUAAUUUUUUGACUACAAAAAACCUCAAAUCGAUGCACCCAUGGUAAAUUUACACUCGGUUAGCUUCUAUCAGAUUUUACCAUUAAAUUUGUUGUGCAUAACACAUGAUGACGUGGUAUAUUGCCAUGAAAAUCCAUGCGGUAAAUAUUAUGAAAAAUCCCAAACUAAUACACCUACCAAAUUUAACAGAAAUUUGGGGUAUUUCAUUGUAUUAAUCCUAUGAAUUUCUACGUGAAUUUGCCACAUCACCAUAUCAGUUUGAGGUUUUUUAUGAUCGAAAAAUUAAUUUUGGAUAAAUCGGUCGCAUAUUUACCAAUUUAAGAUUUUUGGUGGUAUUAAAGUUUCUUAAUGACUACCAAUAAUCUCUCCCUACGUGAAUUUGCCACACCACCAUAUCAGUUUGAGGUUUUUCAUGAUCAAAAAAUUAAUAUUAGAUAAAUCGGUCGCAUAUUUACCAAUUUAAUAUUUUUGGUGGUAUUAAAGUUUCUCGAUGACUACCAAUAAUCUCUCCCUAAUAUGUUCGGCGGCGUCUAAAGAGAGCAAAAGUUAUAUCCAGAGACAUGCUCUUUUCACAGCCUAUCACUCAUCGUAAGGAAACUCUCUUUCAUAACUCAAAACAAAUUGUCGUGCACCGACUCGACAUGGACCCUCCAUUAAUUUAUAAGGAGGACCAUUGGGCAAUCCUUUUUCAAGAAAUUACCCAAGAGAAUGAGUAGGAAGUGUCAUUAGUGCUCCACUGAGUAUCCACCUAUAUAGGUGCUUACCCAGAAUUAUUUAUGCCUUACUAAUAAAUUAACUAGUGUUGUAAAAUAUUGCGUUGCGUAUAUAUAAUAGAGAAGAGAUUGAGAAGAGAAAGCAAGUAAACACUAGAGAUAGUAGAGAAAGCCAGAUAUUUCACUAUAUUGUGAUUGUUAUUGUAUUGUACAUCAAAACUAAACUCCUAUUUAUAGGAGAACAAGAAUGUACUUAUCAUUAAUAUCAAUGUAUCGAAUGAUAUAUGUACUGGAUAAGGGAGAUGAACAUUCAUUGUAUAGGGAGAUGUACUUAGAAUAUAUGAUACAAAUGUACCAUAAUAAGUACAUUAGAUAAGAUGAAUAUAAUAAAUAUUCAUUUAUGUAUUUCAUAACACCCCCCCUUGAAUAUUCAUCAUAUUCAUUACAAAUGUGCAUUGAAUGAUACUGCCUCAUUAAAAACCUUAAGCCGAAAAAAUCCAGUGGGAUAAAAAUCGGACAAAAGGGAAAAAGAGUGCAGAGCACAAAUGUUAUGAUAUCUCCCUUUUAUGGAUGCAUUAAUUGUCUCGUUAAAAACUUUAAGUUGGAAAAAUCCUAUGAGAAAAAACCGGACAUAAAGAAAAAAGAGUGCAAUGCAUAUAUAGCCACUCCUAGGGCUAAUCAUUAUUGCAUCUUGUGAACUCGCCGCAUAUCAAUGCUACAAUGCAUAGUUUAUAAUAUCUCCCCCUCAAUUAAGCCAUAUAGCCACUUCUGGGCUAAUCAAUCUUGCAUCUUAUGAACUCGCCGCAUACCAAUGCCAUAUACUAAUUUCUCAAAACUUGAUGUUGGCAAUGAUUUGAUUAAAAAGAUCUACAAGAUUAUUUAUGGAUCGAAUCUGUUUAACAUCAAUUUGUCGACUUUCUUGAAGUUCAUGAGUAUAGAAAAAUUUUGGCUAGAUAUGUUUAGUCCUAUCACCUUUGAUAUAUCCUCCCCUGUCUUGUACAACACAAGCAGCAUUAUCUUCAUAAAUUAUAGUGGGAAAAUUUGUAACCAGUAUUAAGCAACAAGAAUUAUGAAUAUGUGUUAUAACGGAUCUUAACCAAACACACUCUCUUCCAGUUUCAUAUAAAGCAAUAAUCUCAGAGUGGUUAGAAGAUGCAGCUACUAGCGAUUGCUUCGUAGAACGCGAAGAAAUAGCGAUGCCGUUAUAAAAAAAUAAAUACCCGGUUUAAGAGCGAGUCUUAUGUGGAUCGGAUCUAUAUCUAGCAUCAGCAUAUCCAACUAAACCAGAGUUAGUGGAAUCCUUGGAAUAAUAUAAUCCCAAAUCUAUGGUUCCUCGAAGAUAACGGAAAAUAUGUUUAACUCCAUUCCAAUGUCUUCGAGUUGGCUUAGAACUAAAACGUGACAAUAAAUUUACCGCAAAAGCGAUAUAUGGUCUCAUACAUUGUGCCAAGUACAUCAAAGCCCCAAUUGCAUUGAGAUAUGGUACUUCAGGACCAAGUAUCUCUUCAUCAGAUUCUCUAGGACGAAAUGGGUCCUUUUGGGGAUUUAGAGACCUUACAACCACAGGGGUGCUCAAUGGGUGAGAUUUGUCCAUGUUGAAACGUUUAAGCAAUCUUUCAACGUAUGCUAAUUGAUGAACGAUUAUUCUAUUUGCUUUAUGCUCAAGCUUUAGACCAAGACAAAGUUUAGUUUUACCCAAAUCUUUAACUUCAAACUCUCUUUUCAAAUAUUCAGCAGUUUCAGCUAACUCUUCUGGAGUUUCAAUUAAAUUUAUAUCAUCGACAUAAACUGCUAUAAUAGCAAAUCCAGUUUCUGAUUUCUUAAUAAACACGCAUGGGCAGAUAGGAUCAUUCUUGUACAUUUCCUUAAUUAGGUACUCACUUAGGCGUUGAUACCACAUGCGACCGGAUUGCUUUAACCCGUAUAAUGAUUGUUGACGCCUAAAAUUAGUUAGGUUUUAUUUAGCUUUAUUUAACUUUACUUUAUUUUAUUUUAUCUUUUUCGGAUAAUAAAUAAACAAAUAAAAAGCAGAAAAACAGAAAAAACAAAAAAAGCAGCCCUCGCAUGGGCCUUCGGCCCAUCAUCGCCUCAAGCCCGGCCCCUCCGCAUCGUCUUCUUCCUCGCGCCACUGGAGAGCACGCGCGGGCAGGUGCGACGCUAGAGAAGCAUGAGUGGACAGCGGUCGCGUGCGGAGCAGAGGGGCAGGUGGUGUCGACGGGACGUGACCGGAGGCAGCGAUGAUGGCGGAUGGGACGGCGAUCCAACCGGCGGGUCGAAGCCUCGCCGACCGGCCGUUCCCGUGCCUAUAAAUAGAGGGGAGCCACCGUCGACGAAGGGACACGGAUGAAGGCCGGAAAAGGACCGAAAGCUGCAGAUCCUCGAAACCUCCCACUGAGAGACUUCAGAAGGGGGGCCGAGGACGAGCACGCCGAGAUCCAAGGUCGGCCGGAGACCGAAAACAGAGACACGCUCAGAGAGGUCCGAGAGGGAGAGAGGUCGGCCGAAGCUCGAGGUCCCCUAAGAGACUUCGGGGAGUUCGAGCGUAGGGUCGGUCGUGGUGUGGUGACCUCGGAGGGGUCCCCGAGAGACUUUGGGGAGUUCGCCGAGCGAGCCCGAGCGAGAGGGAGGAUAAUCUGGCACGGGUUCGGCCAGAUCUGACCGUCCAGGAGCCAACGUCGCCGUCGUCAUUCGUCGCGGUUGUCGACGUCAGUCCGUCUCUGCCUUUGUUGCCGUUGCUCGCCUUCGCCGUUGCCGCCUUCAGCCGAUCCGGCAUCAUUGCCGUCGCUGUCCUGGCAUCACCGCCAUAGGCCACCGCAAGUAAAAAAAGGGGUCGUCGUUGUCACCGUUGCCUCUGUCGCCAUCGCCUCUUCCCGUAGUCCAAGCGUUGUCGCCGCCUUUGUCGCUGCCAUUGUCACCGACGCCGCCGCCGCCGUAGCACCUCAACCUUCCCCUCUCCAGCGCCGCGAAUCGAGAACCCUAGGGUUCUAGAUUUUUAGGGUCGCGGCCUCGGGUCGUCGGAUCGGACUCGGGCUGCGAGCCGGGUAGGGUUUCAAGGGGGCGGCCGCGAGGCGGGUCAAAAUCCGGGUCGGAUACGGGUAGGGUUUCUGGGGGAGCGGGUCAGCGAACCGGGUCAUGGAGUGAGUGGUGGAUCCGGGUCGCCGGGCCGGGCCGGGCGUCCCUAAACGCUCGGCCACGGCGUCGUUUUGUUUUUAAAAAAAAAAAAAAAAGAGUCGGGCCCGCUACGCAGGCCCGUCUGCGGAUCCGACCCGGGUUGGUUUCGUUUUAUUAUUUUAAUGUAAAAUAGUAUUCUAAUAAAUAAUAAAUAAAUAAUUUAUUUUCAAAAAAAAAUCAAAAAUAAAAAAUGUUUUAAUUUCCAGAAAAUCGAAAAAAUAUUAAAAAAUAUUAAAAAAUGUUUUAUUUUCCGAAAAAUCCAAAAAAAGCUAAAAAUUCAUGAAAAAGCCAAAAAGACUUGUAUUUUUCCAAAAAAUACCAAAAAAAUCCCUUUUGUGUCUAAAAAAUUAUAAAAUGACUCAAAAAAUGUUUUUCCUCCCAAAAAUACAUGGAAAAUCCCUCGAACAUCCAAAAAACCUCAGGGUUUAAACAAGAUUAGAUAUCGAAAGGGCAUUAGUGAUUAACUAGUGUAAUCAAGUCCCCGAUCCUAAUUUCUCUGGUUGCGCAGGAGUGAGUAUUUCUCCCGAUACUUCACUUGGGUUUCUAAUCAACCCACCCCAAAUCGAUUAGUAGCGACUCCAUUUUAAAAAUUGAUUUACAGGUUAAAAACUUGAACCAUUAAGUCGUGAAUUGGUGGACUUGGGAGAGUCCGGGCUUAAUAAAUUCAGCCGAGCCAUUAGCCUCCUUAGGCGUCCGUACCCGAUUGCGGGCGCCAAGAAAAAAAGAGGUCGCGACAAUGAUCUUUGCAAUUUUAUUGAGAAUAAAUUGCGGGAAGUGCAUACUUCAGGCAUUUUGAAUCCCUUAGGAAUUUUCAUAUAAAUAUCAUAGUCUAAUGAGCCAUAUAGAUAUGCCAUCACAACGUCCAUAAGACGCAUUUCCAAUCUUUCAAAGAUUGCUAAGCUAAUGAGAAAACGAAAUGUAAUCAUAUCCAUCACAAGUGAAUAUAUCUCAUUAUAAUCAAUCUCAGGUCUCUAGGAGAAUCCUUGGGCAAUGAGUCAGGCUUUAUACCUAAUAAUCUCGUUUUUCUCAUUUCGUUUUCGGAUAAAUACCCAUUUAUAUCCAACGGGCUUUACAUUAUCAGGGAUACGAGUUAUAGGUCCAAAAACCUCUCGUUUAGUUAGGGAAGCUAAUUCAGCUUUAAUUGCUUCCUCCCACUUAGGCCAAUCUUGCCUUUGACGACAUUCAAUAAUAGAUUGCCGCUCACAAUCAUCAUCCAUAAUUUUAUGAGCAAUUGAGAAUGCAAAAGUAUCAUCAAUAAUGAUUUCAUUUUGAUCCCAAAUUUCAUUACAAUAUGUAAUGGAAUUUUCAGUAUUCUCGGGGCUAGUGCUCCUUUCAUGGGUUUGCGCCUCUUCAGGGGCAAUAAGCUCUUUGGGAGCAAGCACAACGCUAGGCUCUUCUAGAGCGGAUUCCUGAUUCUUUCCCCUUCGUUUUCGAAGAAUAAUAUCUUUUGAUUUUAUCGAUAUACCACACUUCAAGUGCGCAAGUAAACAUGCAAAUGUGACAUUACGCGUAGAUAAUAGGCAAACAUGAGACCAUCUACAGAAUGCGUCCACUAAUACCAUAAAAUAUCGAAAUGGUCCACUUAGUGGUUGUAUUGAUCCACAAAUAUCACCAUGAAUUCUUUGUAAGAAUAAAGGAGAUUCAAGAUUAACCUUUAUUAUAAAAGGUUUGAUAAUGAACUUUCCUUGUGAGCAAGCCUUACAAUUAUAAUCUUGGGACAACAAUACAUUUAUAUCCUUUAAAUGGUACACUUUUGUAUUUUGAAUUAUCCUACGCAUCAUUGAAGCGCCAGGAUGACCAAGGCGAUCAUGCCACAGUCCAAACUGAUCAGGGCUUACCAAUCUCCAGGAUGUGGUGGCGUAGGUUUCAACAGCCUUAAUUAUGACACAAUACAAACCCAUAGAAGAAGCUUCUAGCUUCUUAUAGAUGGUCUUUAGGCCCAUCUUAUAAGAGGAAUUGCCAAUAUAUUCCUUAUCUUGCUCAUAAAUAGUCUCAAUAUGGUACCCAUUACGGCGUACAUCUUUAAAACUGAGCAGAUUCAUUUUUGAUCGAAUGCUUAUAAACACAUUCUCAAUAGGCAGGAUUGUGCCAUUUGGCAAAAUAAUUGUAGCAUUCCAAAAACCAUCAAUAAUCAGAACAGGACCUGAUAUUGUAUGGAUUUGUGCCUUACGCAAUGUCAUACUCGAGAAAAAGUGUCUACUACAAAAUAUAGUAUGUGUUGUUGCACUAUCAAGCAAACAAACAUCUUCCUUUUUCUCAGUAUUUUUCAUUUGUAUUUAUAUUGACAACUUCAAGUGUCAAGUAUCAUAAAAAUUGCAUAUUAGUUAUAUAGUCGAAUAAAAUUUCAAAAAUAAAUAUUAUAUAAGGUUCAUAAGCAUUUCAUAAAAAACAAUAAAAAAAAAUACAUUUAAAGCGAAACAACAUAAAAUUCAAAGUUCAAAUUAUCAUCCACCAAUCUGAUUCAUGAAAGUAAUCAGAGGUCCUCAAAGAAAUCAGAGACAUCCAAUGAUGCAUUUGCUACUUCAGGAGCAAGAGGAGUCCCACCAACGGAGAUAUUGUUGGCCUCAACAGUGGUUAUGGCAGGAGGAUUGAUUUCAAUGGCAUGGGAUUCAUCACGCUUGCCUGUAUUCUUUAAAAAUGCCUGGUAUAGGUUAACAAAAUGUUUUGGCGUACGACAGGUACAUAACCAGUGCCCAGUCAUGCUGCAGCAAUGACAAAUACUUUCAUUAAUCACUUUCUUUGGCUUCUUUUCUUUGCCAUGAUUUAGGCUAAAAUUUGAUUUCCUAGGGCGGUUAAAUUUCUUACCAUCCCUUCUAGGAUUAUGUUCUUGCCUGCGCUUAUAGCCCUUAAAAUGGCUAGUAUUUUUCUCAAAGUUAGCAUGUGCUUCAAGCAAUACUUUUGAACCAGCAGAUUUAAGAUCAUGAUUUUUUAACAGCAAUUCAUUAGUUUGCUCGGUAGUAAGAAGCACGGAAAUUAAUUCAGAGUAUGUGGCAAACUGACGCUAUUGGUAUUGCUGUUGCAAUACAAUAUUUGAAGCAUGGAAGGUGGAGAAAGUUUUCUCUAACAAAUCCGCAUCAGCGAGUUUGAUACCACAUAACUCAAGCUAAGAAACGAUAUCAAAUAAAGCGGAAUUAUAGUCAGACACAGAUUUAAAAUAUUGCGGUCUGAGAUUUUGCCAAUUAUAUUGUGUUUAAGGGAGGAUAACAGUUUUGGUAUGAUCAUACCUAUCCUUCAACCUCCUCCACAAGAUAUGAGAAUCUCGAACAGAUAAAUAUUGAGUCUGCAGGCUCUCAUGCAAAUGACGACGAAUAAAAAUCAGCGCAUUUGCUUUAUCCUUUUCAUUUGAGGUUACAUCCUUUGUAAUUGUAUUGGCGAGACCUUGCCAUUGGAGAUGCAUUUCCAUUUCAAUGCACCAGAAUAGAUAAUUCUUUUCACUCACUUUCAGGAUAUGGAAUUUGGGCUUUUCAACAUUUGCCAUAAUCCUUGCAAAAAUAAAUCCUUAAAUUAAUUAAAAGGAUUUCAAAAUAUCCACCGCCACUUCAGGAGCAGAAGGAUACUUUUAGAUUUGAAAUAUGGCUUCGGGCCAAGAAAAAUAAAAAUGAAGAAUUGAUAGAAAAAGAUGAAGUAUAAGUUAAUCAAUAAAAAGAAUACCCACCUUGCAAGAAUUACUUACUCAGUCGGUAGAUCUUCGUGCUAAUAACGUGUUGUAAAUUAUUGCAUUGCGAAUAUAUAAUAGAGAAGAGAUUGUGAAGAGAAAACAAGUGAAUACUAGAGAUAGUAGAGAAAGCCAGAUAUUUCACUGUAUUGUGAUUGUUAUUAUAUUGUACAACAAAACUAAACUCCUAUUUAUAGGAGAACAAAAAUAUACUUAUCAUUAAUAUUAAUGUAUCGAAUGAUACAUAUACUGGAUAAGAGAGAUGAACAUUCAUUGUAUAGGGAGAUGUACUUAAAAUAUAUGAUACAUAUGUACCAUAAUAAGUAUAUUAGAUAAGAUGAAUAUAAUGAAUAUUCAUUUAUGUAAUUCAUAACAACUAGCAAUCAAAAUCUCCUAGAUGCUUUUUUGGCUUCACGAUAUUUGCCGAGCCGUCGAUUUGAAUGCUCUUCCCGUGCAUCAUGUGCAGGCCCAUCACCCCCUCUCUCCCGAUUGCCUUAUCGCCAGACCGCUUGCAGCCCGUUCGUCAUACGGCCCCGACUCAUUAGGAGCUAAAAGAGUAUGAACGCUAACAGUUUCUAAAGAAGUUUAGCAAUAGGUUUAGCUAGAGAGUAGAGAUCAUGAAAUUCAAACUAGAGAGGCAGGGUCAGUGAUUCAGGCGGGUAGUUAAAAGCCCCGGUACCCCAUGCACAAAUUCAUGUGAUCCUUAAACUAUCAAUAUGUUGUUCACAUGAUUAAUCCAACCUAGAUUUUUUCUUCCUGGCCAACAGUCAUGUGAUCCUUGAACCAUCAUUAUGGAGGAAAAUUUUAAAUAAAGACCUGAAUUCACCGACUGGCGAAAUCUUUGUAGGUCAGCUUCAUCUAAUUGGAGAUGGGGUAAUUUUUUCCAAUAUUUGCAAAAGUGGGUAAAAUCCUAAAGAAAUCACAAAUCGAAUGGGUAAAUCCGCAUAGACUGUGCCUCCUCGCGUUCUUCAAGUCCCGAUUUUGAUUUCACUCUCUCCUUCCUCUCUCUGCAAAAUUGCCGUUUCCACAAGCGUGGUGCGACCUGGACUCCAUCUGUGGCCGUUUCUUCUGCAGAGCUUCAUCCUUCUUUCGUCAACGGCAUCUGUAAAUCUUAACCAUGCUAUUGCACUGUAGUCCGUUCUGCGGUGGGCUCUCUUGCAUUCUCUCUUAUGGGCACUCUCAAUCCCAUUAAAGUCGGGUUCUUUCUCAUCGUCUACAAGAUAUGUGGAAUGGCCUAUAUUGUUCUUUUCUUGCUAAUUUUUUGUUUCAGCCGUGGCCAGGUUUGCUCAUGCAGUUGAUAAAGUUUCUGUAAGGUUUCCUCCAAUGACUUCACAGGGUCGAGGACCGAUUCUGGUGAUUUAAGCAAGAAAGGAAAGGACAGCAUGCGCUGGCAGCUGAGCCUCUGUUGAUGUCUUUCCCUCAUGCACAUACUCCAAUCAAAAUUCAAUUUAGGAUUCUUGAUUUUUAGGGUUUUACCCAUUUUUUACCCUGUUGCAAAUUAUGGCCAAAGUUACAUUUGCUCUAACAAUUGGAAAGAGCCGACAGUGAAGAUUUGGUGAACUGGUUAUUUCGAAUUCUUAGUGAAAACUAAUCCUACUAUUUCAAGCUCUUAUUUAAAGUCAAACUCAAAGCUCUCUUUUGAGAGAACAUUCUACUUCUACCCUUAUUUCAAAACGGACUCCACAUUCUACCAAAUUUAGGCAAAUACCUCAAAUAUUACUUCUUUUAAGUACAUACACGGCACACCAUUUUGGCCAAACAGAAAAAUCAGCAUAUUUUCACAUUUCAAGGCCGCCGGCAUCGAAUUUUUUUGAAUUAAUCAUUUCCAUUAACGGAAAUAACAUAAAAUAACUAAUUUUGAAAUUAUCAUUUUGAAUGAAGUUAGCCAAGGCAUCACCAGCUAAAAUUUAAGUCAAGUUGUCACAAGCAAAAAAGACUCAGCCACACCAGGAAGGCUCAAAUGUAGAAUGGUAUACAGAAGUAUUUUGCAUGGCACAUGAACGUCCAUCAAAUUCAGAGGCGAACAGAAAGCCAUGCUGCACUAUAUUUGGAACCUGCUCAUGGACAACACUAUAUUCACAUAUUGAAGGAAUAAGGCGGGCUUUUCAGACCUUUGCGAACAUUUGCACUGCAUGGACUCACCCAAAAAUCUGUACCAUCCGUCACGACGCUGCUCAUGAUUAUCCAAGCAAAAGCAGAAGAAUCUCCAUUUUCUGGCUCCAAAAGGAUCACAAAUGCCCUGAUCAAAGAUUCAGAUGACCUAACCUUCGCAAAGCUGUCCUUCCAUGUAUGAAGCAUGACAUUGUUCAGGCUUUAUAUUAUAGCAGCUCCGUCUCCUCGACAUCUGCAUCUGCAUCCUCAACCUCGUUUUCUUCAUCUUCGUCAGGUGCAUCUGGAUCCACUCCCUAGAAGAAACCAACACCCAGUCAAUGCCUCACAUCACAGGAAUGGUCUGCUCUCUCUACUGAAGUGAGAAUAAGUGAAGGAUUUUCCAACAUAAUAUGCUCAAUAGUUUUGUUCUCACUUGUCAUCUGUCUCUCCAAGCGGUCCAAUCCUUUCUUGGCAGCUUCAUUCUGCGAGUUGAUCCUGAAUUGUAAUGAGAAGAGAGCAUGAAUAUAACAAUAAAGACAUGAACUUGAUCUUUCUUUUAUCUUCUUUUUUUCCCAAACUGUAUUGUUUCCUCUUUUGCAAGGAUCUAGUAGUACCACUGAAAAGCCUGGAUCAAGAAUUUUCAAGAACUAAAAUGAGCAUGCCUUUAAUUAAAUUACAACCUUAAUGCAGCCUGAUAAUGGGCCAACGCAUCCUCCAGCAUAUUAGUUGCAGAGAAAACUUGAGCCAACUUAACAUGAAGACGGUCAUCUGCCCAGUCCUUGAGAUAUCUCUCAAGAAGAGAGACGGCAUCUCCAUUUCGUCCCUCAAUGACAUGCAGUUCAGCCAAAGCUAAUGCAGCUCCAAGGUAACCAGGUUCGAGACGAAGAGCUGACUCAUAGAACUUUUUUGCCUAUCACCACUCCAGGCUAUUCAGAGACUUCUUCACCUUAGUUAAAAGAAAUGGAGAUUCUAGAACAGUCUGGGAAACACUUACACACCUUCUCCCUACCACCAGGAUUCCUAGCAUGUACAUCUCCAACCAAUUUUAGAGCCCUUGCAGAUUGAGGCAUUGCUUUCAUUGCUUCCCUGGCCGUAUAAAGGGCUUCUUUAACUUUUUGAGCAUGCCAAAUAAGAGCAAACUAAACCUGAAAUGAUAAUAAGCUUCCAAUCACUCAGACGGUCAAGAAUUAGACAUGUACACCUUUGCUGCAACAAAUUCUAAGUAGUUUCCCACACACCUUGAUAUGAACGAAGAUCAGGCCUCAACUCUCGAGCUCCUCUGAAGGCAACUACAGCUGCUUCAGGCCUAUCCAUUGAUAAACACAGGUUUCCCUGCAAACACAAGAGAAAUAAGUUUGAUGAUUACAUUUAACAUUGACCGAUCAAGAUUUAUACCAGAAGCUUAUUAUCAGGAUCUUUUAAAUAGCUUUCAUAAAUGAAGUUUCUUCAAAUUCAAAGCACAAGAAGCUGUGUAAAAUUGGCAAAUAGCAGGGGUCCAAUAAUUUCGAAAAUCAAGUGUCACUCUUAGUUAGAAAGAGGCGUCCUACCUGGCCAAGAAGUAUUAAUUGUUGGGUAUUCUUAUCUUCCAAGUUUCCAAUAAAUCCUAGGUUAGCUUGAACACUUCAUCUUAGUAUUAAAUAACUAAAAGCAAACUGUAUUUAAUGCACUCUGAUCUUAUCCAAGAUGGCUUGACUUGCUUGCUUCUUCUUCCAAUGGGUGUGUAGUCCUUUUCUUGGCCUCCAAGAUCUUCUACUUAGUUUAGUGUUAUGGCUAGGCUAGGCUAUNNNNNNNNNNNNNNNNNNNNNNNNNNNNNNNNNNNNNNNNNNNNNNNNNNNNNNNNNNNNNNNNNNNNNNNNNNNNNNNNNNNNNNNNNNNNNNNNNNNNAUUCGCAUUGUUCAUAUUUGUUCGCACUUAGUUUCUAAGACCUAAUUGUGAACCCUAAGUGUGAACCCUCCUAAUUAGGCCAAGGUGUCCCCCUCAUUAAUGAGACAAAGUCCAAGUUUCAAACUUGUUUUCCAAAGCAAGGGCCUAUUAUGUCAAGUGUCCACCCUCAGUCAACAUACAUUUAAUAACUACGUGACAAAGACGUUAAAUGAGACUUGGAAAAUACCUAAGAUUUGAAAGCCUUAUCAUUGGAUAGGGAUUAAUCGAUUUUGACCGCGAUCAACAACCUUAUUUGGCCUGAGAUUCAUGCAUAAGCUAUGUCCAAACAAAGUCAAACACAACCUAUUUUGAUUGGCCAAACCGAGUUCCAGCUCCCUUUAUCGAGAAAAAUGGUCACAACUAGGUUUGCUGGCUAGGUUCUAGCCUAGUUGGUCGAUUCUCUAACCAGUUCAUGGGCUAGCCCAUGGGUCAAUACUACUUGGUCAGUCUUGUGGUCAGUCCUUGGGCUAGUCAACCAGUCCUGUAGCCAGUUCUAUGACUAGUCCAAGGUUUUACACCAUAAGUCUUGGUCAGUCCAAAAUUGAACCAUGGUCGUCUUGGAUCAACUCAAGGUCGUUCGCACCCUAUACAAUGACUAGGCGGAAUCACCCGCUACUGGUGCAUUGACCAGGCAAAAUCAAGCUAUGACCGUCCGCCAAUCCAUGAUGCCACACGAUCAUCCCACAAUCGAUCCUUAUAGUCAAAUAAUCGUUCCAUGGUCAGAUACCCUAUAACCAGACCUUGGGUUGUUGAUCCCUGAAUGACCAAGCCAAGUCUCGCCAUUAAUGUUCUGGGCUUUAACCUACUAGUUUCAAGCCAAGUCUCGCCAUUAACGCUCUGGGCUUUAGCCUACUAGUCGGCCAAAAUUAGAGUUGAAAUCAAGGAUAUUACAUAAAUUAAGAGAGUUGAUACAUAUUUUCAUGGAAAUUUCUCUUUUUUAAAAACUUGAUUUUUAUGGAAGUAAAUACUAAAAAUAAAAAAUAAAAAAUAAUGCUUUUUUUUUCUUUUUGGUAUUGGAGACAUAGUGCUUUUAAUACACAUGGGGCACCCACAAUAUACUAAAGUAAAACAUAAGAAAUGCCUAAUUAUGGCAAUUAGAUUCAAAAUAAAAAAAAUGAAAAUAAACAAAUAAAAUAAGGAAGGAGACCACCAUAACAAAUUGCAAUUAAAUGAUCGAGAAUAAUUUUGCCUUUUUAGUAAAAAUAAGAUGAAUUUAAUCACAUAAGGGUGAAAUUUAUGUUGCCCUUUAGGCUCCAUUCAUUUCACAAAAAAUAACUCCAGGAAAAUGUUUUUCAGAUUUUCCGACAUUUGUUUCAUAGAAAAUUAAUUAGUUAGAAAAAACAUUUUCCAUGAAGGGAAAAAAUCCUCUAAGAUUUGAGAAAAUGUUUUCCAUUUUUGAGAAAGAGGAAAGCAUUUUCCAUACCUUCUUUCACCUCACUUUCAUUCAUCAAGUACAUUUUCCUUUUAUUUUUUUGAAAAAUCAACUUUUAAUAUUUUUUUCCUUUUGUAUUUCUUCUCUUUUUUUUCUUUUCCUUUCUUUCUUUUUUCUUUUCUUCUUCAUUGGUAGGUUGUCGGCCAUGGCAGCAGCUGAGGACUAACCAUGGGCGAGCUGGAGCCUUGCCACAGGCCGGCGGCUUGAGCUCGCCAAAUUCCAACAGGGUUAAGCCUAGCCAACUUGUGGUGAAGCCAAGCUCGCUCGACACUAAUGAGCUCAAGCCUUGCCAGAUCGCACAACUUAGGUGGAGCUCGAGCCUCGCCAAAGGUUGCCAAACAUCAGCAAGGCUCCGAUGACCUGGGUGAGGCUUGAAAGAGCUAGGGCCUCACCAAAUCCAACCACCUAGGCAAGGCUCGAGCCUCGGCCGAGGUCGUCAAAUGUUGGCAAGUAUCUAGCGACCUCCAACGAAGCUCGAGCCUUGUCCACAUGGUCGAAUCUGGGCAGCUUGAGCUUGUUGGCGUCAAGCAAGCUUGGCCUCACCGGCUUAUGGCAAGGCUCCAGCUCGCUAGUGGCCAAUCGAUGCUUGCCACCGUGGUUGAUGACAUGCCAAUGAAGAAGAAAAAGAAAGGAGAGAAAGAAAAAGAAAAAUAAUUAAAAUAAUUAAAAAUCUAUUUUUAAAAGUAUAUAAUAAUAAUUAUCAUCAUCACCAUCAUCAUCAUCAUCAUCAUCAUCAUCAUCAUCAUCAUCAUCAUCAUCAUCAUCAUUAUUGAAAGAGGGUGCAUGGAGGAAAAGAUUUUCCUUACCAAACAGUCAAAAAUAUUUUCCAGUACAUUUUCAGGUUUCAGCCAAACAACGGAAAAUAUGAUUAUUUUUCUAGAAAGUGGUUUCUUGAAAAAUAUUUUCUUAAAAAGUCAUGUUUUCCGGGAAAUGAAUGGAGUCUUUAUGAAGGUGGGAUGGCCUCGUGGGCGGGUUUUGGGAUGAUUGAAGUUAUAGGUAGGUUUAAUAGAGUCAGAAAAAGCUUCAAAGAUCACGAAAUAGCCAAUUUGGGACAACGUGAAGAUGGAAUACAUGGAGAACAGUCGUCCAACAUUGCUUACCUAGAGAACUUUUCAAACUUGUAUCCCCUAUAAAAUCAAGGUUUGUAAUGAGAAAAGGUUGGCCCUAGAGUCCUUUUUUGAUAUCUUUAUUCAUUUUAUCUCAAAUACAUAAGAUAAACAAAAUAAAUAAAGAAAAAUCUUUUCUAAAACCAUCCCAAGGCAGUAGAUUCCCGGGGUGGGGCAGAGCAAGACUAAUGCCAUCCCCUCCCCACCUCGCCUCCUGACUUGCCUUGUGCCUUACUUAAUGCCCCGCGAGGCAAUUUUUGCGAGGAAAAUUUGCCCCAGUCUAGAGGGAUUCCUCACCUCCCGUGCCCCUCCCUAGAUAUUUCCCUUGCAAAGGGGAAUAUUUCAAAGAAGGAAUCUGUUGAUCGAUGUAAUUUUUGAGUAUGCGAGUAUUGUGGUGUAAUAAUGCGGUCUUGAAGGAAACCUUGAUAAUUUAAUACUGCAGAAGAGACCAAGAGUAAAUGUGAGUGAUAUAGUUGUUGCGGUCCUCCCAUGCGACAAGCAAGCGGAGAUUCGGUUUUAGUACGUUAGCAUAGAAGAAUAUUUGGAUUAAGGGAGAGUAUGAUUAACAAAGGAAGCUCACACAUGGAGGGAUAUUGUUGAGGUGCAUACUUGAGUUGCGGAGAGAAAUCUCAUAUUGGAGAUUUGACAUGGAUUGGAUUAAAUAUUUAGCGUCAACUAGACAUGUUAAUUACCUUGCAUUUGGAUUCUCCGUUUGAUGAUAUGGCUAGGGCAAAUGUAUCAAACCUUAAAUGCACAUCCCAACCAAUGGCAAAACAACUCAUAUGUUGGCCCCGACUCAUUUUUAUCUCUUUGUUUGGUUGGACACAUUGUAAUCAAGUUCCGAGCACAUCAAGUGCCAAAACUUGGCACAGAAAGAUAUUUAAGUACCAAAAGUUCAAAAAAAAAUACACUUAAGUACCAAAAUCAAAACAAAAUGGAUCAAUUAAGAAAUUCUAGCCAAAAUGCCAAUGUGGUAUUUUUCUAACAAGAUAAGUGCAAAAAGUGCAAAACGACGCCAUUUUGCACUCUAACAUGGCUAGAUAAGCUAAAAACACCGUCAUUUUGUAUUAAUAUAAAUAUUAAUUGAAUUGAACAUAAAACUAAAUAAUAAUAAUUAAAAAAAAAAAAUGAAGAAGAAGAAGAUUGCAAAAGCGAUUGGUGAGGGCUAUGCAAGCCCUCGUCGCUGCCUCCCCACCAUCGCCGGCCCUUCCUAGUGAUGUCGAGGGCUUCUUCUUUCUUUCUUUUUAAAAAAUAUUAUUAAUUAAUAUUUAUAUUUAUAUUAAAAUUUAAAGAAGAGGCAAAACGACAUCGUUUUGGCUCUUCUUUACUGACUCAGCUUUCUAACGAACCACGUGGGGCAACUUAUAUUAUUAAAAAUAAGUCAUGUUGGAUUUCCAGCACCUUUCAUCGAUAUUACCACUUAAAUAUCUCAUUUUUCAAAGAAAGUGACACUUAAAUAUACCUUUUGAGACUUUUGAUAUUUAAGUGUCCUUUGUGCCAAGUUUUGACACUAGUACUGUACUUCUGCCCAAUGUAACCAUUCAGGAGUAUUGUCACGUGGUAUUGGACUAAAAUACCAAUGUACCAAAUUAAGGUCGUAAUUCGUGUUAUUGCAAAUCAUCAAAAACUUAGGGCAAAACAUUCAAAAUUUGUUGGAGUCGUGUACAGGUUGUCAUUAGCAUCACAUUCAUUUUUCAUAAAUCACAAACCCACUAGUCUAUGAUUUGUGAAAAAAUACGGGAAAUUACUCAAAACACUGCCAUGCUUUAACGGUAGUGCACGUUUAUCCCCAAACUUUUAACUAUUUACACAAUCUCCUCCACAAUUUUCAUUUUCUUUUGGCCAUUCAAAUUGCAUUAUAUUUUCUGUUAGUGUGUGCGAUUCAAACGACUUUUAAGGGGUGAAACUGUUUUUUUUUUUUUUUUUAUCUAUCUUUAAGGAAAUUUCUCUUUUACCAUUGGUUUCUAUUAAAGGAUAAAAAAAUAAAGCAAAUGGAGAAAAUAUAUUAACUAAAAUAUUAAUAUCAGAAAAAAUAUAUUACUUAUAAUAUUAAAAUCAAAUUUGGUUAAUAUUUUAAGAAUAUAUUUGACAACUAAUAAGGUAUUUUUAUAAAUAAAAAGAAAUACAAUUAUGUAAAAAGGAAAAAUCCCUUAAUAAAAAAAGGUAAAAUUACAAAAAUUGGAUAUACAAUAUGUGUUUUUAAAAGGUGAAUUAAUGCAAAUUGAUUGAUUAACAAAAAAUAUUUAAAAGUAUCACCUUACAUUUCGAUUUACCAUUUCCUAUUAUAAAUGAGGACAUCGUUUUUUUCAUAUAAUUUUUAGAAUAUAUUCAUUUAUCAGUCACUUAUUACACUAAUUAACCCUAUAAUGAGCAACCAUUUUUUUUUCAUUUUACCUUUUCGCUAUGGAGGCAUUUUUCGUUUUUAUUUAUUUUGUGUGAAUGAUUUUAUAAUAGAUAGUUAGUAAAGUGGCUAUAUUUAUUGAAUUUUAACGAAGUUUUAGUGUUUAAUAUUAUAAGAAUAAUUUACUUUUCUAUUAUUAGUAUUUUCUCGAUACAUUUUUCUCUCAUUUUCAAUAGUUUUUCAUUUUUUUUAAGCAAUUUAGGGCAAAGAAAAUAUUUCCUUAAAAAAAUGAGAUGAAAAUAUAUUUACCGUUAAAAGUCAUAUUGGGAAAAGUACAUCAAUAGUUUUUUAUGAUUUUUGUACAGCAUUCACUUGAGUUCCAUAAUUUUUUCUCACUUAAAUGCCACAUCAGAGUAAAAUCAAUCAUUUAAGUGCCACUUAUGAUCAAUCAUCCUAUGUGGAAAUUUUCCAUUCGACAUGGAUUUUUAAUGUUUUUAUUUUCAAAUUUUUUAUUUUUUUUAUUUUCAUUUUUUGUUUUUUUUUUUCCUUUAUUUCAGGGCCGAUGAGGUUCACCAGUAACCCUUAUCAAUUGCGAAGGCAUUGCCCAGACUAGGUGUGGCCGCGUCACCCUCAGCUGAUGUGGCUGCAAAAGCCUUGGCCUCACCUAAGGCCUUUGUAGCUGAGGGCUAGGCCUUCACAACUAGCUAAGGUCGCCAAUGACCCUUGCUGACCUUCGCCGACCUUGAAAAAGAGUGCAAAAAAGGAAAAUAAAAAUAGAAAAUAGAAAACAUAGAAAAUAUUACAAAAUUAUCAAUGUCAAUACUGGUGAAGCCAUGUAAGAUAAUUAGCAUCCACAUCGAAUUUUCUAACGAGGCAAAUCACUGAUAGCACUAAAGUGAUCGACUUUUCAAAUUUGUGACACUAAAGUGAGCAAAAAGAAAGUAAUUAUAUUCGAGUGAGCAUUGUACGAAAGUUAUGGCACUUGCAUUAUUCUUAUGCCAAGUCAUGUAUAUGGCACAUCCUAAGAAAAAAAAAUAACAGACGUUUAAUGGCAUUUAUAAAAUGAAAUUUCAGGAGGUAUUAUGUGACAGCUGAAAGUUCGGAGGCAAAUGUGUGCUACCCCCAAAGUUUAGGGCAACUUUGUGUAACUUCCCCACAAAAUGAACAUGCUUAUAGUAGUUCUAUGACUCGAGUUGCUAAUGCAUUGAUAUGAUAUGCCUCAAGAGAAACAAAAUGCUCAGUUACUUUUAUAAUUGGUCAUGAGUUCGUCCCAACCAAAACAUCGUGUACAUAUACAUAGAGGUGAAUAAGGAGGAGAGAUUUGUAACAGGUACGAGACUCGUACGGUAAGGUCUAAGUACAAAUAGUAACAAUGGUCAUUCCGCUUAAAUCUUUCUAUUCCACGGGAGAAAAAAGGAGAAGAGAAUGAUGGGACUUUGUAGACCAUAUAUCACAAACAAUCACUUGUUAGAUCGCACCCGCUACUGAAGGGGGCCUUGGUCUUUCUUGUUGGGCUAAUUUAGACGGACUGAAGAACUACAAAAGAGAUGCAUACUCCACUCAACGUCCAUUCAAUUAUUUUUGUUCAUUUAUGGCUCAAGCGAGGGUAUUAGGGUUUCAUUCCGAGAAACUCUUUGAGCAUCCGGCUAAUCAUCGUUGGCCAUAGGAGUCCUGUUAUCAAUCCUUAGAACAUUGGACAAUCACUGUUGGGAUCAGCUCAACUCAAAAAAAUACAAGACAUUACGGGUAAGAACAUGUGGACAUAGUCUCGUUAUGAAUCCAAUAAGCAAACAAUGUGAGAAACUUUUAACACUCCUUUUAAAGCGUGCAAACUUGAAUAACAUAACUUGCGGAAUGCGCGUGGAGUUGAAGAACGAGGAACAGAUAAAUAAGCAAUCACACGCGCAUACUCCAAGAUGCGGGCUCAUGCGCAACUGUGGUGGCCGAAGACUAAGUUUUCUACGAUGAAGGAAAGCAUGCUUUAACCCUCAGCAGCCCUAAGUCAAAAAAGCUACUUUCAAUUUGGUAGAGACCGAUAUAGGCAUGCCAAGAAUAUGUUAUACUUAAUUUGAUUUGAUUUGCUAUACCACGAGUUAAACUCCUUUUGAGUAUUCAAUCAUACGGAAAUUCUUCGUGUUGGGGUCCCACUUUUUUUUUUUUAACUAAUCAUUGAAAGCAUGACAUGCCACUUAACAAAACCAAGAUUCCAUAUUUCUUAGUGACACUAGCAUCGUCCAGAAUUCGUUCGUUAUGUUUUCAAACCGCUCUUCCACAAUCAAUUGAGAAUCAAAUCAUUGGUCGAAGGCUCAAUCGAAUCUCGAUAUGCCAAUUUUGUGAAGCACGUGUACAUUGUCUUUGGGAGGAAGUUCAGUCCCAUCAAUAUCUUGUUUCUUAAUAAUUUCUUCAUCUAAGUUGUAACUUCUUUAUUUUUAGGGAUAAGUGCAUUUGAAAUUUUAAAACUUAUCAUGAAAGUAUUAAAUACUAAAAUUUUUAAGUCUUAAACUUGUCAUGAAGUGCAAUUAAGUACUAAAACUUGCGAAAACUGUAUUUGGUUCGUAAAACUUGUCAAAUUAGUGCAAAUAAGUCCUUCCAUUAAUUUUUGAAAAUUUUAGAACUUGAUUACAUUUUCGUAAUAAAUUUUAAAACUUGAUUGCACUUUUUGAAAAUUUUAGAAUUCGAUUGCAAUUUCGCAAUAAGUUUUUGGACUGGAUUGUACUUUUAAUAAUUUUAAGAUUCAAUUACCCUUUUAUGACACUUUCAUUACAAGUCUUAGGACCUUAGUGCAUUUAUCCCUUUUCUUUAAUAGGAGUGAUCAACUCCCGGUCUAGUUCGGUGCUUCCCCAAAAUUGGGAACUAGUUGAGUUCAAAGGAGGGAAUGCCUCAAACUCCAUGAGAGGUGAAAGAGAUCCAGAAAAAGGGGAAUACAGUAAGAAAAGAGUAGCUGUGAGUGUCGUGAGACAAAAAGGAAAGACUAAAAGAGGAGAGGAGGCAUGCGUGAGACAUUUUAAAUACAAAAUAAAUAAAUAAAAAGCAAUCGAUCACCACCUAAACACCAGUUUCAUUUUUAGGAACCAAGAACCAAAUCGGCACUUCCAAGAGCCAGAUCCAACUAGCUGGCUUGGUUCGGUUCGAAUGAUUUCCGAUUUGGUCAAUCCAUCUCAGUCACCCCUAAAUCUAAAGAAUAUAUUUAUCUUUACUGUAAGUCCAUCUCAGUCGCCGCCUGAGCUACCGCCACCUCUCUCCUCCAUUCCUGCGCCCGACCAGCGACUGCCACCCCUUCGUCCAACCGUGAACAACAGCCAAGAAAAUGGGUAUGGCAGCUCGAUUUUGGCCCGUUUUGGCCGCCUUCCCGAGCCCAGAUGCUCAGCCCACUUUGAGGAAAGUCGAUCCUUGCGUCGUCCUCGUCGUUUUGGUCCGCUCGGCUCACUAAUCCGGUGAGUUUAGCUCACUAAAUCUUGAUUAGACGGUUAAUGAUGCCCUAAGUGUUCUUAGUCUAAGUUAAGUAAGUUUAAGUGGUUAGAUUAGUUUAUUUGGUUGAGGAUUAGAUUAGGGUGUUUAAUUAAGCUAAAGUGUGUUUAGUUUAAAGUUGAGUAGGUUUAUUUUAAUAUAAGCCUUGAUGUGACAUAAAUGAAUUAACUUUUGAUUUAUUUAAAUACCUCGAAAUUAUUAAAUAAUUUAAUAAUUUAUUAUUAUUCAAAUUAUUAAAAUGAUAUUAUUUAAUUAUUUUCGGAAUAAAUUUAAUUAUUUGUUAAAUUCCGAAAAUUUUGUCAAGACCCUAAAUUCUCAUAAUUUCGUGCCAGUCGCUACUGUAUAGUCAGAUUUUGAAAUUGAUGGUUAGAUAUUAUAAAAUUGAGUGUGCAUUUACAAUUUGAAUUUGAUGAAUGGAUGUGGCAAAUGGAGUGUGAUUGCGAUAAAUAGAGAUUAUUUUUAUAAAUUUUCAAGUGUCAAAAUUGGAUGGAAGAACGACCAUAUUUGACCACCUAUUAAAGGUUGUGCUCAGUGGGGCCGUGAUUGACCACCUAUUAGAGGUUGUGCCCAGUGGGGCCGUGAUUGACCACCUAUUAAAGGUUGUACCCAGUGGGGCCGUAAUUGACCACCUAUUAGAGGUUGUGCCUAGUGAGGCCGUGAUUGACCACUUAUUAGAGGCUGUGCCCAUCGGGCUGAGAUCUAUCACCUAAUUAAAGGUCGUGCUGAGUGGGGUCGUGAUUGCCACUAGUUGUUAAACCUUCCCAUAGGGUCAUGAUUGGGAGCAGCGAUUGAUUUGCUAGAAUGACAUGUAAUCGACCGAGUCGAUUGAUUGCUGAGACGAUCCAAGUGGUUGAAUUAUUAUGAUAAUGCGAUUGUGCCAUAGUUGUCUGGUUAUCAUAAUUGCACGUGGUUGAAUUAUAUAAACUGUGCCAACUUGCAGAUGAAGACUAAUGCGAGGUAAGUCUUUUGUGUAAUGUGGCUAGGCCACCCGGGGCAUAUUUUCUUUCUAAUAAGGGUUUAGGGGGUUGAACUUGCUGAGACAAAGUCUCAUCCCGGUUGUGGGAUUAAAAUUUCAGGUCCCUGGUGGACGGAGCGACCAGAUGGCUUUGGUUGGCUUUGAGGAGUUGCGGAGGUGAAGUCAUCAGGAUUGGAGAACGUGUUCGACUUGUAGGUUGUAGGACAGUUCCUUUUUAAGAGCCAAUCUUUUGUAAACUUUUGGCCGUAGACCUCUAUUUGUAAUUCUGUUGAAUUAUGAAAGUGUUAUGUUGUGAAUUUGCUUCCUGCUUUUCUAUCUCGUAUAUCAUUGUCAGGGGUUUUAUAAUACGUUCCGCUUGCGCAAUAAUAAAUGAAUUGGGUCAGUGACACUACUUGGGAAUGUCGCGUUUACAUGACCAUGGUAGGAUGUUGGCGCGCUCAAGGUUCAGGGCAUGACAUCCGCGUUUAAGUGGUAUCAAAGCAUGGUUUGAGUAUGGAGUGAUAAAGUGCGAUGAGUCAUGGGAUAGUUAGUAGGAAAGGCUUUUAAUAUGCUGAUGCAUGUGGUUGAUAGCUGUUUGGUAGUGUGUUUAUGGGGUCACUCAAAUUCUAACCUGAUGUUGGAAUCGGAAAACAGGCGUCUAUAAAGAGCCUGUAGGAUGAGUGACCAAGAGUGGAGAACUCCUUAGAGGAGGUCAGUAGGACCCUUAUCUCGGGGUAGGACGCUGACAAAAGUUAGUACCCGAGGUAGAGCGUAGGCUUAGACCAGCGCGAGUGUAAGAAUACCAUUGUAGGUCGAUACUAGUGUAGCAGCACCGAAUGAUCCUAGAUUUGCCAGGAUUCUUUAGGCGCUAGAGUCUUUGGGAAGCAUUUUGAGUUAGUAAGCUCAAGACCAAGUUACUGCUAAUGCCGUUGUUUAUACCGCUGCCAGUGUUGUGACCAUUAUUGUUGCCACGCCUGUUGAGGCCCAAUCUAGAGUUGUGAUCGAGGAUCAAGCCGUCGUAUCUGAGUCAAAGUUCGGUUUAGAUGGAGAUGGAAAUUGAUUGGGGAGAAAGGCCAAUGUCAGAAGAAAGGUGCCCUAUUUCACCCAACCAGAAGAGUAGAAUUAGAAAGUCAGUGCUCCACUCGAUCAAUGUGUGUCGUGUCUAUAAGAAAUAACAUGGAUUUGUCCCGUGCUAUAAGAGAGAAAUGACUGUUACAAGUGUCGGCAGUAAGGCCAUUGAUCAAAGAUGUCUGUAUAGACAGAUGGAACCACAGUUGUUUCUGCACCGCCGUCAAGAGAAAAGAACAGAGGAAACAUGCUUCAGAAUGUUUAAUGAGGUACUUGGAUCGAACCCCAGUGCAAGGAAUGGUGCAUGAUGUCACUUGAUGGGAGGUAGAGGAUUCACUGAUUUUGUGCCGAGUUUGUGGAAAUGAGGCAUGAGUCAGCCUAGUGUCAGAGUAAAAAAAAAAAAAAAGAGCAUGAUAAGAAUGUGGCCAGCACGGCCAUCGGGUUACGAACUGUCCGUGUAAGUUCAUGAGAGCGUAAGUACCAUUACUGCAGAUAGGACGCCACUAGGAUGGCUAGAAAAGCAUGAAUGGCUCGACCAAACAUCGACCAAGGGAAGAAUGUUUUGAGGUGUUUUAUCAGAGUAGUGCAACAAGAUUUUGAGUGAAGGUUGUGGAGUUUCCGUUGUUGUAAUAAAGUAAUAGGAAGAUGAGUCUCUGACUAUAGUUGUACCUGAUGGAUUUACUUAUGUAUGACUUGGAAGUCAUUUAUGAAAAGGUUUGGCUCAAGGAGCUUUCUGCUGUUAUAAAUCGUGGCGGUGAUAUAAUUCAAUUUGUUUAGUUAGCGUAUGAAAGUUUUGAAUUACUGAAAGUCAGAAAGGACCUUCGAUCCCUGUUAUUCGUCACUGAAGACGACCUUGGUUCUAGUUGUUGGUUGCCAAAUCUAUAUGGCAACUAUAAUGGAUGCGAUAGUUGAGGGACCAAGUAAGGAGAACUUAGCCAUGGUAUAGAAGCUUUCUAAGGUAAUCUCUAGAGAAUUGCCAAGUUUGUUGUCAGGAAGAGAAAUAGAGUUCGUAAUUGAAUUAACACCCGGAACAGAGCCAGCCCCUGAGACUCCUUACCGGAUGGUGUUAUCCGAGUUAAAAGAACUGAAGGUGCAGAUGCAGGAAUUGUGGAAUAGGAGAUUCAUACAUUCCAGUGCAUCACUUUGGGGAACACCCGUUCUACUAGUGAAGAAGAAAGUUGGUCGUUGUGUUUGUACAUUGGUAUUCUUCAAGAUUGACUUGAGGUGAGGGUAUCAUCAGUUGAGAAUCAGGAAGAAAGACAUACCGAAGUUAGCAUCUCGCACUCGAUACGGCAGUUAUGAGUUCACUAUAAUGAUGUGUGGUUUGACGGACACCUUAGCUAUUUGUUUGGGUCCUAUGAGCAGAAUGUUUAAGGGUACUUCAAUCAGUUGUAAUCAUGUUCAUUGAAGUUAUCUUGGUGUGUUCAAAGAGUGCAGAGGAGCACGAGAGACAUUUGGAGAUGGUACUUCAGACCUUGAGUACUCUUGGAUUUUAUAAUAAGCUUAGCAGAUGCGAGUUUUGAAUGACUCGUGUUGCGUUCCUAAGUCAUGUGAUUUCAAGAGAAGGAAUCUCCGUAGACCCCGUCCAAGAUUCAAGCAGUGAUCAGUUGGCCAAGCUUGACUGCAGUGACAGAGAUCAAAAGUUUUAUGGGUUUUGCAAAGUAUUACAAACAGUUCGUAUACGGGUUUUUCAAUGUUAGCAUCGCCGUUGACAAGACUACUGAGGAAAGAAGAGAAGUCCAAGUGGACAGGUAAGUGCGAGUGUAGUUUUCAAGAGCUUAAGCGAAAACUGACUACCGCACCUGUGCUUACUAUCCCAUCUAGUCCGGGAGGGUUUGAGAUCUAUAGUGAUGCGUCAUUUAAAGGAUUGGGUUGCUUGUUGAUGCAGCAUGAUAGGGUUAUAUUACAUACGCGUCCCGUCAGUUGAGAUCUUGUGAGUUGAAUUACCUUACGCACGUUGUAGAACUCGCAGUAAUUAUGUUCGUUUGGGGAAAUUAGAGGCACUAUCGAUAUAGAGAAAGAUUUCAUAUCUUCAUUGACCAUCAAAGUCUCAAGUGCGUAUUCUCUCAUAAGAAGUUGAAAAUGAGACAAUGUUGCUGGAUGGAACUCCUUAAGGAUUAUGACUAUGAUAUUUUGUAUCACUCUGGAAAGGUGAGCAAAGUCGCAGAUGCACUGAGUCGAGAGUCCUUAGUUGCACAGUUGGUACUCAAGGAUUGGAUCUUACUUGAGGAAGUCUGAAAUUCAGUUUUCAAAUCUAAGAUAUGCCACCUUUUGAAUCUUAUGACCACCUUCAGAAUUGAGCCGAAAGUUCAGAUUAGAAUCAAAACGCUUCAGUGGACAGAUUCAAAAAUUCAGAAGACUAUAAGAGAAUGCAAAUGAGAGAGGUUGAUUUUUAGAAUUCUAAAGAUAGAACGCUAAAGUUCUGAGGACGAUUGUGUAUGAUUGACGAUGCAGAGAAUAAAGAAGAGAUCUUAUGGGAAGCUCAUCAUAGCAACUUCAGCGUUGUCCAGACAGUACGAAGAUGAGUCAAAUCUACGUCAUUAGGAUUGGUAGAUCAGUAUGAAGAUAGAUAUCGCCGUACAAGUUGUAAGUGUUGGAGAUAUCAGUAAAUGAGAAUUUGGUAAUGUAAUCUAGGAAAGCUUUUUUCAAGCACGUGAGAGAGUCCUGUGUGGGAAUGGAAGUAUAGCAUGAUUGAAUGUUAUGAUAGUUAUUAAGGAGUCGGGAAGAGUAUUGAUUCCUUUUGGGGUUGUGGUCGACAGAUAAACAGAGUCAACUCACCUUAGUGCAGUACGAAAAUAUCUCGAUUGGAAUAGGUAUACCAAAGUGUGUGUAUAUCAUAUAAAUCAUCUACAUGGAGUGUCGGGGAUGAAUUGUAUUUCAAAUCUAGAUUAGAUGUUCCAAGUUUGUAGAGCUUUCAAAUGGCUCUUUCUUAAGCAGUGCAUAGCAGAGAGUGCGGAAUUUCGAUUGCUAAGAUGAAGUCAGGGAAAGAAAGAUCACAAGCCAGGGUCAGUACAAUAGUCAGUGAUUGUAGUUGCCGAGAUCAGUGUCAGAGUUAUAUCAAAGCUUGACCAGGGGUUUUCAGUUUCAGCAGAUCAGUCAGAUAGUCUCUUUUUAGUCAGUGCAGGGCAGAGUGUUCAGAACUUCAGUUGUUGAGUUGAGAUCAGAGAAUGAAAGGUCGUAGGUCCAGAGUUUGUUUAGAAAUCAUUGAUUUAGUUGCAAUUAUUAGAGACAGUUUAGAGACUGCUCAGAAUUGUCAAUUUAGCUUCGCAGAUUUUGUGUUGAAGACCUUUGGAAUUUUAAGUGGGCAAGUGUUUAGUAUUGUGCAUCCGAAGUGGUUUGGGCAAGAUAGUAGUGAUCUGGCAGCAUUGGUACAAAAAAAGCAACUUGAGAAAGAGAAGAUUAUAUGAGACGACUGUAUCCCCACCUUUUUGUUUAAGAAUCGGUAAAGGUUUAAAUUUCGAGGACAAAAUUUUUAUAACAGGAGAAGAGUUGUGACAUCUGGAUUUUCCAAUUCUAUUUUCAAUAAAUUGAGACGGGCAUUUCGUUGGCACGCGUAUAGUUAUUUUCCUUGAGUCGGUCACUCAUGUGAAAACUAGUCUAUCAGGUGAAGCCAUUAAGAAAUUAUAAUGCAUUAGACUCGAGAAUUUGACCAGGAAACGACCUUUUGACCGAGCUAAUCUGCAAGGGUCAUUACGGCAAUCGAUUAGAGACCGGAGAUAAGUCGACUCGACAGAGGCAUGUGAUCAAGUGUGGGUGAUUCCACCGGAUCGCACAAUUCUUGUCGAUCGGCACUGGACCGACUUUUCUAUCGAUUGGGUACCCUGUGUUCAUAUUUGAAACCUUGAGAUUACCCCGACAACUGAAAGUCACCAAUGUUUCAAAGAUGUACAUUGUGGCUUGAGAUGAUCAACCACAGGUCAAAUGCAUGAAAAUUUCUAAAGGCUACCCGGUAAGUUGGGCCGCGCUAGUUUCGUGCCAAGGUGAAAUUAACCGUGGAAUUGAAACCGAAUUCAAAAAUUGGAAGUCUAGGUGUGUCACAAAUCAUUUUAGGAAUGUUGACUCAUCUUUGGAAGAUUUUUCAUGCAAGCCGAGUUUUUUGGCAAAAUAAUCAAAGUAUAGUUAAUUUGGUUCGAAAAAUUGGUAAGCCCGCUUUUGGUGGUAUUUUUUAGAUCAAAAUGGUUCUAUGGUCAAGUAACUAUGUGAAUUGAAGGGUGAUGACAUUGGAUUAUUUUUACGGACUUUAACUUGGUUCAAUUAGAAGAGAAUUGAAUAAUGUGAUAUACAAAAUUUAAAAAUUGGUAUGCCUCGGCGGAAAAGGAAAUUAGACCCAUUGGAGAAUUGUUGUGGGAGAUUUAAAGUUAGUGGAAUGUGAGGUCAGCUUAUGUCAUGGUUGGGGCCAAAGCAAAUGGGGUGUUGACAAGUGUCGAAUGCUCAUUAGUCCCCAAAAAGCACCUCUCACUUCAAUCUUCAUCUUCAACCUUGGGACUUCUUGGACUUGGGGAGAGAAAAGCUGAGGGAGACCAGCUCGUUCGACCACCUUUCGUGCGACACCCAACCGCCCGCUCGGCCGCCUGCUUGCUCGUCGUCGGAGUCGCUCACCGCCACCGUUGCUCAGCCCACUCGCUCUCCGCCUUCCUCUCUUUCCCCCUGCUGGCGUCAACCUCCGCUUCUUUUUCUUUGUGUUGUUCGAGACCCACCAACAAACCAGGGAAGCAAAGCAGUAGCCAGCAGCGCCGCUCGUCGCCGUCGCACACCGCUGGACCGCUCACCGCCGAUGUGCGUCUGCCCCGCGCCGCUCGCCGACCAGCUCGCCUCUCCACUCCGCCUCAGCCCACGUCUCCAACUUUCGUCCGGCAUCUCCAGCAGCUUCCUGCCAUCGCCGUCGCCGCUGUGAGCCACCAUUGGUUGCCGCCUGAACUACUGCCGCCUCUUUCCGCCAUUCCCGUGCCCAACCAACGACCGACACCCCUUCGUCCGACCGUGAAUAGCAGCCAAAAAAAUGGGUAUGGCAGCUCAGUUUUGGCCCGUUUUGGCCAACUUCCCAAGCCCGGAUGCUCAGCCCGCCUUGAGGAAAGUCAAUCCUCGCAUCGUCCUCGUCGUUUUGGUCCGCUCGGCUCGCUAAUCUGGUGAGUUUAGCUCACUAAAUCUUGAUUAGACGGUUAAUGAUGCCCUAAGUGUGCUUAGUCUAAGUUAAAUAAGUUUAGGUGGUUAGAUUAGUUUAUUUGGUUGAGGAUUAGAUUAGGGUGUUUAAUUAAGCUAAAGUGUGUUUAGUUUAAAGUUGAGUAGGUUUAUUUUAAUAUAAGCCUUGAUGUGACAUAAAUGAAUUUACUUUUGAUUUAUUUAAAUACCUCGAAAUUAUUAAAUAAUUUAAUAAUAUAUUAUUAUUCGAAAUUAUUAAAAUUCUAUUAUUUAAUUAUUUUCGGAAUAAAUUUAAUUAUUUAUUAAAUUCCGAAAAAAUUUUAAGACCCUAAAUUCUCAGAAUUUCGUAUUGGUCGCUACUGUGUAGUCAGAUUUUGAAAUUGAUGGUUGGAUAUUAUAAAUUGAGUNNNNNNNNNNNNNNNNNNNNNNNNNNNNNNNNNNNNNNNNNNNNNNNNNNNNNNNNNNNNNNNNNNNNNNNNNNNNNNNNNNNNNNNNNNNNNNNNNNNNNNNNNNNNNNNNNNNNNNNNNNNNNNNNNNNNNNNNNNNNNNNNNNNNNNNNNNNNNNNNNNNNNNNNNNNNNNNNNNNNNNNNNNNNNNNNNNNNNNNNNNNNNNNNNNNNNNNNNNNNNNNNNNNNNNNNNACCGUAUUUGACCACCUAUUAAAGGUUGUGCUCAGUGGGGCCGUAUUGACCACCUAUUAGAGGUUGUGCCCAGUGGGGCCAUGAUUGACCACCUAUUAGAGGUUGUGCCCAGUGGGGCCGUGAUUGACCACCUAUUAAAGGUUGUGCCCAGUAGGGCCAGUGGGGCCGUGAUUGACCACCUAUUAAAGGUUGUGCCCAAUGGGGCCGUGAUUGACCACCUAUUAGAGGUCGUGCCCCUCGGGCCGAGAUCUACCACCUAAUUAAAAGUCGUGCCGAGUGGGGCCGUGAUUGCUACUGGUUGUUAAACCUUCCUAUAGGGUCGUGAUUGGGAGCAGCGAUUGAUUUGCUAGAAUGACAUGUAAUCGGCCGAGUCGAUUGAUCGCUGAGACGAUCCAAGUGGUUGAAUUGUUCUAAUAAUGUGAUUGUGCCAUAGUUGUUUGGUUAUCAUAAUUGCACGUGGUUGAAUUAUAUAAACUGUUCCAACCUACAGAUGAAGACUAAUGCGAGGUAAGUCUUUUGUGUGAUGUGGCUAAGCCACUCGGGGCAUAGUUUCUUUCUAAUAAGGGUUUAGGGGGUUGAAUUUGCUGAGACAAUGUCUCAUCCCAGUUGUGGGAUUAAAAUUUCAGGUCCCUGGUGGACGGAGCGACCAGAUGGCUUUGGUUGGCUUUGAGGAGUUGCGGAGGUGAAGUCAUAAGGAUUGGAGAACAUAUCCGACUUGUAGGUCGUAGGACAAUUCCUUUUUAAGACCCGGUCUUUUGUAGACUUUUGGCCGUAGACCUCUGUUUGUUAUUCUGUUGAAUUAUGAAAGUGUUAUGUUGUGAAUUUGCUUCCUGCUUUUCUAUCCCGUAUAUCAUUGUCAGGGGUUUUAUAAUACGUUCUGCUUGCGCAAUAAUAAAUGAAUGGGGUCAGCGACACUACCUAGGAAUGUCUCAUUUACAUGACCAUGGUGGGAUGUUGGCGCACUCGAGGUUCGGGGCGUGACAAGAUAGUUGUGUGGUAUGAUGGUGAACAACUUAAGUACAUAUGAAUCGAAAAAUAGUCAAUACUUAUGAUGGAUAAAGAAAAUCCGAAAAUGAGUAAUGAUAAAGCAUGAGGAGUUAAACUUCAAAUCUCUUGGCUCUUGUAGAAAACUAUAUAACCUUUUAGUGCUGCUUGCUCGAAAAAUCAUAUUUAGAAGAGACGACGAAAAGAAGAGUUGGCUGAAAACGAGAAACGAAUAAUCGAAUAAAAGUUUUUCUAGCUACAAGUUGACUCACACCGCAUUCAAGCGGGCGUUUGGCCAAAUGACCCUAAUAUAUUAAGCUGAAAAAUAGAGCCGUGAUUAGUUGUUCAAGCUCUUUUGGCCUAAAAAUAGGCCUUGUAAAAGCUUUGCAUCAAACUUAAUUUAAACUGUUCCUUGACUUUUCAAAGUAGUUAGAUAGACUAGUAAAGCCAACAUGUGGUCCCAAAGUUUGACAGUGAUCAUAUGCGAGUUCAAAUCCAAGUCAGUUAACAAUCACAUGAUGAGUUGUACCUCCUUAGUUAAGACAAAGCCACACAUUUCGACUUUCCAAAGUCACUAACGCAGUAGGCAGAAUCUUGUUCUUUAUUAGGAUAUAAGGUUCGGGAAAAAGAUGGAGAGUAGAGACUGAUGUGAUCUGGUUGGUGUUCUUGUCCUAAAGGAGUACUUGUUUUUACCACAUUGUUCUUCUUUUCAUCUUAUGUAUACCUUGCGCACGAUCACCAAGUCUUUCUCAAUUCUCUUUUUCGAACACAGAAUCAGAAUCUUCAGAGAGAGAAAGAGGGGUCCCCUAGUUUCAUCCACCAACUCAGUAGAUGCCUCCAAGAUAAAGACAAGCAGAAAAAUUCUCAUGGUUGAAAAGAACUUGUUUCAACAAUGAGUUAAAAGAAAAAAAAAUGAGGGAUAAAGUACAUUUUGGUAUCCAUGAAUUGAUUAGUAAAUAGUUCCAAAUUAUGAACCCUAGCUAGUGUUGACAAGAUAAUGGGGGAGAUGGAUUUAAUUGCUAAAGGAUGGAAGAAAUACUCGGUUUAAAAAUAAAAUUGCCCGUAAAAUGGAGGAUAGUCAUACAAAUAUCAAAAGCCAUGAAAAUAUGAAAAUAAAGGAUAUAGUAGAUAUAACGUGAAGCCGUACAAAGGACGCGUUGCCUCUGUUACGUAUGGAAAGAAUCUUAUUCAUUUGUAUGCAGCCUCUGUUCUCCAGUGCAAAUGCAACAGUCCUUAUCCACGUUGCAAUGAUCAAGAGUUCCCUAAGAAUCCUUGUGAAAAUAGCCAAAGAUCUAAAGAAAAAUUCUCUCUCUCUCUCUCUCUCUCUCUCUCUCUCUCUCUCUCGUAUGCAAGUCCAAAACCCUACGAUGAAACAUCUAUAUAAGCACGUCCCUCAUGAAGCCUUAAGCAAUCCACACAACACAAGAAAUCCUAAUAUCACAUUCCAACCUUCAAGAGCUCACUUUGCUCUCUCUUUUAGCUAAUUACCACUUUCUGGAAUUCACUUUAGUCGACGUUCAAGGAGUUCCUGACAUCUCGAAGCUUUUUUCUCAAUGGAGGAUCUGGUGGCGAAGAUGAUCUACGAGAAGCCUGUGGUGAUCUUAAUCAAGUCGCUUCUUUACGAAAUGGGGGGAACCCAACGGUCCAUAACCUAGACGAGAUUCCGACAGGCAAGGAGAUCGAGCAGGCCCUCGUGAGACGCGGGUGCAGCCCAGCGGUCCCCGCCGUGUUCAUCCGCGGCCAGCUUUUCGGUAGGGACAGUUGUGGCUGAUGCCGGUUAGGGUUUUGGGAAGUGGGUCUUAAGGUUUCUAGCUGGGUGGAUUGGCAUGAAAAAGGAUAACAAGAUGUGAGAUGUUGUGUAUGGUGUAUAUAGAAGUGGGAGUGUUAAAAGAUGUACAUAUGAAAAUAGAUUUUAAGAGUUGUUGUGGCGAAAACUCAUGAUAGACCUCGGUGCAUGGGCCUCGCUAGUCAGUCCUCGCGUUCGGGUCCUCAAGGCCGAGCUUGAGACCCCCCGUGUCCCUCCCCAAAUCUCCAGUGGUUAGGCCUAGGACACUGACUCCUGCGUUGAGACCCUAGCGGCCGAGUUCGGAUCCGGUUGCUUGGGAUUGGGACCCCGAUGGUCACGUUCAGGUCCCUAAAGGCUGAGUCUAGGAUUUUGACGUCUGUGCUUGGAUCCCUAGCAAUCGGGUCCAAGUCUCCAAGAACCCAAACUUAGGACUUGAG